rnacentral:lncRNA from 1 species
UGAGAUUUUGAGAUUUUGAGUUAGGGUUUUUUAGUAAAUCCUUCGAAAUAGAGAUAGUUGGAAACUCUACGUGAUUCUAAUCUAGAUUAUCGAAAGAAUUAUGGAGAUUUUUGGGUUAUUUAGUGAGAAAUAGGUUUCUAGGGUUUUGAAAGAGGGCUUUAGGAUUUGUAGGGUUUUGAUCUAAAUUGAUCAUGUAAUCUUCUAAUCGAAGGUUGUCAAAGAACGCCGAGUAGCUUCGAUUCGAAGAGUAGUGGCGUUUCAGUGGUCAAUUGAGGAAAAUUGUGCUGAAAUCAAAGGAUUUCAUUUAUUAGCACCGAAAAGUGCCGAAUUUGCGUCGGAAGUUAAAUUGCUUGGAAUUCCUUGCAAUGUCACGCCCCGGAGUCCUUUUUAGGUUAAAACGCAGCGAAAUUUUUUUUUUGAAAACCUGACCCCAGGGUAUGCCAGAUCCACCACAAAUACAGGGAAUCCACUGUUCACACGGACAGAGUCUCCCCUGUAUUUGCACGGCGUCGCACAAAUACAAGAGUAUAACUAGGAUACAACAACCAUAAUGAAUAAACAACAAUCACUAUUCAUUCACCAUUCAUCACAGAUUUACCAUUCAUAGUUCAAUUCAUAAUUCCACGACUAUUAGUUAAAAUGUUUCCAACUCAGAAACGGGUUUUGAAAUACUAAGUUAUGAAAACUACGAAAAACCUUUUGAAAGCUGUUUCCCACACGGAGACUUUUGCUUUUUAAAACACGCUACCACGAGGGGUAAAAAAUUAUUUUUUUCUUUUUAAAACCGUAAAUCCUUUAUUCAUUUCUAGAAAUUCAUAUUACACAAUUGUAAUGACAAACUGAACCAAUAACUGUCUAAGUCAAAUAAUCCGAAAUAAUGAAAGUAACAGCAAAACUGAACAAACCGGGUCGGAAGCUCUAUCGACUGCUACGAAAGUGUCUCACGUCUCGUCUCACGUCUCACCACCCGCAAUACCUGAAAAAUAGUGGGGGAGGUGAGAACAUGUAAACAUGUCUCCCCUCCUAGUGGGUACCGCAAGCCGAAAAAGGCGAGGAGUACUCACCGGAUCAGGAAGAGAUAUAUAACAAUAUGGUAAACAAAUACUGAUGCUGAUAUAAAGAAACUACAGUAGCUAUAACAGAUAAAGAAGAAGUAAUAAACAAUACUGCUACUGUAAGGAAUGCAAAGCCAAGUAUGCCUCAAGGUAACCAAACCAAAACUGUACCCAAUCUGAUGCCUGCUAUAUUGGUCCGCAGACCUCAAGCGCUGCCUGUCACUGAACUGCACCGACCUGAUUCACCCGCCCCACAGGACGACCCAUCCGGAUAAGCACACCUACGGUCGGUGGCCAAACCGACCCGGUGUCGUGAAUACCCCCAAGUGUUGUGACUAAGUCAUGCUAGUAUGCUCAAUACAAAACCGACUGAAGCCGGUACCUAGGCCGAAGCCAGAAAUAAGGGCGUACAACGCCAAACUACGAUCAACCAGAUCGAAACAUAUGACAAGAGAGUCGAUGUGUUGCCUGGACCCAAGGUCCACAAAGUCCAACUGACCAACAAGGUCCCUGAUACGAAGUACGAGAACCGACCAACCAGGUCAACAGAUACGGAAUGCACAACCAACCAACUAGGUCAACAGAUAUUGAAUGCAACAACAGACCAACUAGGUGAACAGAUACGCAUGUAGAUAGAACUACUCUACUCCCACUCAAGAUACUAAACAUGCAAACAACGAGUAGAGUAUAGCGAAUAAAUAAAGGUGCAAGGCUCAAUAUACCAUGCGAUAGUAACAACAGAAGAGUAAAGGUAAGAAACCAUCACCAACCGUGCACCACUGUACAGACAUCAGAUCGAAGUACCCACCUGUAAGGAUGUCGCGUCUGUCUCCUGACUGCAAAAAAAUGUCGACAGGACCUAUAGAGGGUCCACCGGGUUAGUAUCUAACCCACAACUAAUAACCACAGUAUCCACAACCCCACAAACAAUUUCACGAAGAUCGGUUUCCCAAUACCGAUUACCGUAACUCGCCGGAAGUCCCGAAAACCACACCGGGACACCGUCGGGACCCACUAAGUGUCCCGAAACUCACCGACUCGUGUCACGAGUCACCUGCUGCCCCAAAACACUCCAAUUUGGAUGUUUUGGCAGCAAACACAAGAUAACACCACUACACAAUUAUCGCCGGAUAAUUGUACGAAUCCGGGUUCCCGAAAGUGUCUAUUUCAACACCGGAACCCACCGUCGCUCACCCAUCAUCACCGAACCCACAAAAUGAUGAUGGUGACCAGCCAACAAGGCUCAGCAAUAAUUUACAGGAUAACCAAACCACGUCGGAAGAAAUCCGAACCGAAAUCGCGUUCUUUCGGCGAAUUUCGCCGAAAAACGCGCCGGAAUCAACCUUUCGAUUUCCGCAAAGACUAUCGGAUCAUGGACAACCAGUCCAGAGGUCACCACACACACACAUGCACCGCCCACAGUAGCCACAAGGUGUACAAAUGCAUAAAAGUCCCUAUGUUUACAUAAAAUCCAUCAUUUUAUGUAAAUCGGGCAACUUCUAUGACUCGUUCUCACAAACUGAGGACUUCUAAGUUCCGCCGAGACAUGUACUGACAGGUCUCGACGUGCCGGAGGCCGUGCUCACCUUUCGAAGAACUGCCGGCCACUGUGGCACACGUGGGAGCGACUCGAAAUUCAGCAAAAACUGCGCGCUGAAACUAAAACGCUUCAAAUUAACACAUCCGACGCUCAUAGACCCUAAAUGAGGUGAGCACUGUGAUCAGCACUGAUGGACGAUCACCGUGCUUACCUCUGGAGGCAUCGGAAUAGCCUCGGGUCGCCGGAACAGAGGGAACAAUCCCGAACAGUGCACAAAACCACAAAACUCUGCUUACCGGCCAGGGGAGAGCUAGAGCUGGCCGGCAGCAGCCGGAAGGCGGGAGCUCCGGCCGGGGACGAGCGCGGAAGGUCGGAGGGGUCCGGGGCAGGUGCUGUCCGGCGGCGGAAGGCGGCCGGUGGCGCAGCGGCACAGAUCAACCCGCGACUUGCUCUCGGGUUCAUGGGUUUCCUGGCGGCGCGGCGGCGGGGAACGGCGGUGGCGCGCGGAGGCAGGGAUCACCCAGGCUCGACCUGGGUGACUGCUGCUGGCCGCAAGGAGCUCGGGCACCUCCGGCGGGGCGCGGGGACGGCGGAGGUCGGCGGGUACUGCGCCGGGAAUGGGUCUCGACCGAGGGAAAGGCUUCCUAGGGUGUCUUGGGCCUUCUCUGAUGUCGAAAGCCGAGGGGGUGGUGGCAAGGUGGAGGAAAGAGGUUGAUCAAGCCAUUCCGGCGGCCGGGGAAGCUCGCCGGCGGCCGGGGUGCGCACACUGCUAGGGCAUGGACCCGCAGAUGACGGCUAGGGCACAGAUAGGGGGCUAGGUCGAGUAGAUCUAGGGUUUCGUGCAUAGAAACCCUAGAUGCACACUAUAUACAUAGUGCAAUUUCGCACAAAAGUCCACCGAAGCUUUGUAUUUCUUACCCAGUCCUUCAUAGUAGGUAACUAUCGCGUAUUCGCACCUCCACAUUCGAUCUCGUGCGAUUCGGUCCAUAAAAUAUGGGGACAUUUGCGAAGUUUCCGAUUUGCCACAAUCGACCCCUUUCCAAACAUCAUGCAAUAUCCGGCAAUCCGUUCAUCGAAUUUUCGAACGGAUUAUACCAUCGCGUUCAGCACGACGAAGGCAAUGAAACUAGGAUCUUUCUUUGUCCGAUUUGGUCUCCGAUUCGCGACGAAACCAACACUCUUUGUUUCCACCAAAUAACUACUUAUAUGAAAAUAUGUAAUUUCAAUCAAACCCCUUUUUCUCGACAUCCGUGUAUCAGAACCUAAUUCUAUCAUUGCCAUUGGGUCCAGAAUGGUCGAGCCGUUUGAAACGAGCUAUUGGAGUGCUAUGAUCGGACUCCAAUACGCGCCAGAAGCCAACUCUACUCCGUGGCUUCACCGAAAAACCGGGUUACUAUUCACUUUAAGUGAAAACUAAUAAUCGCGUAACUUCUCCAUUCUAACUCGUUUUUUUCUGAAACUUGACGAGUGCUUAUGUAAUUAAAUUACAUACAUAAACAUCGUCAACAGAGAGUUUAGUUGCACUGUCAAAAUCUCAGUCCUUACAUGCAAUUGGCAUCGAAUCGAGGUGGGCGGUGCUACUCAGAAUAGUUGAAUUUCUUUCUAUAUUUAUGUUGCCAUUUUUGAUCAUAUAUGUAUAUAUAUGUAGAAAUCAUGCAUUUAGGGUUAUUAUUGUGUUUGAGCUUUCAAUUUCCUCGCAUACUUCCUAAAGUAGAGUUAGACAACUUGGGUCAGGAACUCGGACACAGACAUUGGGAACCCUAUAAUGCAAGGAAUGAAAAUGUGAACUAGAAAACAUUAUGAAACAUUGGUGACAUAAACUUGGUGGCAUGUCAUAACUAGUUAUGUAUGAUAGCACUUAGUGGUAUAUUGCCAUAGAGCAUAUGAAUUGAGGCAGAUGCUAGGAAUUGGUCGAUUCCCCUGAUGUUGCUACCCUAGUUAGUAGGGUACCCUCGGGAUGAGAGGACUAGAUCAUACUCAUAUUGUAUGUUUGGCUUGUGGUGGUCACAACACUACAAGCAGUGAGUUCCGGAGUUGUCACACAUGGGUUCGGCGGAAUUCUGCCUAGCAGACGUCUCUAGUUUGGGUUGAGCGGAAUUCUCCUCACUAGAUGGCCCUGGUUUUGUGAGUGGGCUCAACCUUCGGGUGAACCAAUAUGAUUGGAUUAAAAGGUAAAAUUGCUAAGCAUCAUGAGGAUAGAAACAUUUAUUGUUUACCCAGUUUUAUAUUGUAUAGGUAUAGUAGUUGUAUCAGGUGCAUAUUAUUGUCAAUUUCCUUCUUACUACUUAUACUUGAUUAGACCUAGUGGGAAAGUCGGCAGGGUCAACGGUCGAACCCAUUGGGAACUUCUUUUAGUUCUUACCCCCUUAUUUUGCAGAGCCAAGCACGAGUGGAGCGGUCGAAAAUCGCGACAAGGGCACAGCGCACUAGGUAAUGGACUCUCGUGCAUUAACUUACCCUGUAUAAAGAGUGGUGCUUUUGUAUUAUGAGAUAACUUGUAAGGCUUCACUUGAGAGAUGAAAAUAUGUAAAUGUCAUGUAAUGAUGCCUGUAUGUGUUAUGUGCGGGAGUUGAUGUAUUUUGGAAUAAUGAAUGUGAAGCUUAAGUGUUUUAGUUGUAAUAGUUAAGUAAUCUAUCUCUCGCUCCUAUAUUAUUGUCCUCAUGCAAUUCAUGUAUGUUGUUGUUAUUCUUGGGCAAAAACUCUAUGUACAUGAUGUUGUUUAUGCCUUGGGUGGACAUGGGAGGCUCUGUCCGUUCGGUAGUUUGUACGUAGGGGUGGAAACGAGCCGAGCUCGAGCGAGCUUACCUCGGCUCAAAUUCGGCUUGAAAUUAAUUUCGAGCCUAAAUUUAAGCUCAAGCUUGGAUUGAAAUUAAUUCGAGCCGAGCUCGAGCGAGCCUAAUUUCAAGUCGAGCGAGCUCGAACCCUAAACGAGCCGCUUGAAAUUCUGAACAUUAUACGAUCAAUAGUUUAAUUUGUAUAGAACAUUAUCUAUAAUUUGAUACAAAAAUAUGUCUAAUAGUUCAAAGUACAAAAUAAUUAUAUGAAAACAUAGUAUAUAAUAAUAUUAAAAAAUAUCAAUUAUGCAGUUGAAUAUCUAUUGUUUUCAGCCUCACAUGUCUUUUCUUCCGCUUCAAUUUUCUAUAUUAUCAUUUGCAUUUAUUGCGAUGUGUUCAUUAAAAUUAAGAUAAACUAUACGUAUAGUUAUAAAAUAUGGAUUAAACUACCCAACGUCAUAUUAUAAGUUAAAUAAUUAAAAUUUUAUAUGAAUAAUAAUUUUUUUACUUUUAAAAAUAUUCUGCUAUAUUUUUUCAAGAUACAAGAAUUAUGUUGUAGAGUUUGUAGGUGUCUUAUUUGUAUAGCGGUUGUGGUGUUUGUGCGUUUUGAGUGUUGAUGUGAUGAUGGAUCUCGUGGGAUGUUUAGAGGGCUUCCGCUUGGCACUUAGCGCGUGGAGGCAAGAAAAUGAGAAAGGAGAGAAACAGAUUGAAAAUUAAACUCUUGUAAAAGAAAGAAAAAAAUAAGAAAGGAAAAAAAUAAUAAAUUAGUAAAAUAUUCGCUCUUUUAUUUGUCUAUUUGGGUUUAUUUUUAAUGGGCCAACAAAAUGGCCAAUUUUAAACUAAAGCUCAGCAUGUAUUCACUCAGCCUAUAUAUUAAGUAAAGAUAUCUAUAACGAAUAGAUAUAUAUACAUAUUAUACUUAUAUAGUAUAUAUUAGUGUAGAGCUAACUUGCUAUCGAAAUAUAAAGGAUUGAUGUUUUUUGAAUUUUUGACCCUUUGUUAUUUAAAAUUAUAUGUUGGGAAUGAUUGCAGGUCUCCCCGAGUGAUUAAAUAAUACUCUUAGCCGCAUUGAGUCGCCCCUACAAUGGUAAUAAUAAUAUUAAUCCAAAGAUAAGAAACGAUUAAAGGGAUUGAUCUAAGAAUAAAAAAAUCGAAAGCACCAGAUCUCUAUACUUUCGAUAGCAUAGUAGCUCUACUAUAUAUAUAUAUAUAUAUAUAUAUUUGAGCUUUUCGAGCUUUUCGAGCCUAAUUCGAACGAGCCGAGUAAUACUCAAGCUCGGCUUGAAAUGAAUUUCGAGCCUUUUUUUUUGUUCAAGCUCAGCUCAUUUAAUUUCGAGUCGAGCUCGAGCGAGCCAAAUAUCGAGUCGAACGCGAGUCGAACGCGAGCCGGCUCGCUCAUUUGCCAGCCCUAUUUGUACGCGCGCCCGAACCGACCAAAGUGGCAGUCUUGAGGUGUAACAUUUAGCCUGAGUUCUCUAUUGGAACUUCACUUAUCUGUGGCACUUGCUAUGUUUGGUUGCUCGACUCGGGUCGAACUUAGAUGGUCGAACUUGAUGAAUCUUCGAUUAGGAACUAAUGAACUGGUCCGGAACAAUCAAACCAUCCGGAUAAGUUUCAACUGUUGCGAAUAAGGCGGAGGCCGUUCCAACUACUUCAGUUAGGAUAAGGCGGAGGUGGUUCCAACUACUUCGGUUAGGAUAAGGCGGAGGUGGUUCCAACUACUUCGGUUAGGAUAUGGGUCAAGGAGGUUCCAACUAAUUCAGUUAAAAUAUAGAUCGAGAGGGUUCCAACUAAUUCGGUUAAGAUAUGGAUCGAGAGGGUACCAACUAAUUCGGUUAGGAUAUGAAUCGAACUAAUUCGGUUAAGAUAUGAAUCGAGACGGUUCCAACUAAUUCGGUUAGGAUAAGAUCAAUGUGGUUUCAACUACUUCGGUUAGAGUAAGAAUAAAGUUGUUAUUUUCAAAAUAUUUUGUUCUUAUUUUCUUGUUAGCCGGAAGGCUAUAAAUAGAGGCCCUACUAGCUCUUAUAAAUCAUUCCAAUUUUAGAGAGAAUUAAUAUACAGACUCUUCCACAUACAAAUAUUGUGUUCUUUUCUUUUUUUUUCUUGUUAAUCUGGUUUCAAAUAUCCAUCGAGGAGGCACUGCGACAUUGCUUCCUCCGUCGAUGGAUCAGGUGGUAUCAGAGCAUCUGACCCUAGUGUAAGGUGUGAAUUAGAAGCGUCUACAAAGCUACCGGCGAACAACUCUCCAUCCUUGACAUCUUCCGCAAGCCAUCGGCGAGGAAAACGAAAAGCACAUCUAUCAUGUCUGCAGACGAGCAGAUAGCAAUGCCAUCCGACCUUGCCGCCAAGGUCGCCGUGCUGUCCGACGACAUGAAGACCGUUUUAAAUUGGAUCAAGACCCAAUCUGCAGCACCAUCGGCAAUGCCGAUGGAGAAGAGCGGUCGGCUCGUAGGAACUCCUCCAAAGGCACGUGUGACGCCGAUGAAGGACGCUGCUGAGGAUACCUCGGGUGUGCGAGACGACGACGACUCUGACGAUGAUGGAAGCUUAGCUCCGUCGGUUGUAGAAGGGAGGUCGCAACUGUUUAAGGUUGAGGCCAAGAUCGAGAUCCCCGACUACGACGGUGUUGUCGACACCGAAAAGCUGGAUGCCUGGCUUGACCAACUGGAGACGUACUUCGACCUCUACAACUAUAGCAACGAGGAAAAGGUAACUUUCACAAAACUAAAACUUGUAGGUCAUGCUUUGACUUGGUGGACGGCCACUCUCCAAACUUCCGCCAACGAGGAGUUCACCUGGAGUCAAUUUAAACGACAGAUUCGCCAGGAGUUCUACCCUAUGGGAUAUGAAGAAGAGCGAUGGAAGCGCUGGCAUCUCUUGCGCCAAAGACGCGACCAGACAGUGUAGGACUACACCACCGACUUCCGGCGCCAAGCCUUGGCGCUUGGCAUCUCCCUCGACGAUCCAUAGGUUUUUCGUAAAUACACCGCGAGCCUACAGGAGCGCAUCAAUGAUGAGUUUCGUCUUUUCAGUGUUCGUGAUAUCGCCUCGGUGAGCCAAACAGCCAUGGCAAUUGAACGAAAGAGCAAACUAUCUUGCGAAGAGAAGCCAUCUAGAGAGUCUGUUGCGGGCUCGAAAAAGUUCAAAAAAAAGGGCUCUAAAAAGAAGGGGUCCUCUGAUCCUGAUUUGUACUGUGAUCAUUAUAAAGUCACAGGACAUGUCAAGGAUUGAUACUGGAAGCUCCAUCCAGAGAUGAAACCAAAGAAAAAGGAUGAUCGUAGUAAACGCACAACAACAACGGCAACGACAUCCGUAGGAUCGACAAGUGAUGCUCCUACCUUAAUCGGACAGAUUGAUCAAACAGACACUAGCUUGUCUUUGAUGGCUAUGCCGAAGGAGACAAGCCUGUGCCCGUCAAGUCCAACUGAUAAGAGAGAGGAGUUCUUCACUUUUCGAGUUCAAGUAAAAAAUAAGAUGAUCGAUGCCAUCAUCGAUCCCGGCAGCCAAAAGAACUUGAUCUCAGAGAACCUAGUUCAAAGGCUGUGUUUGUCGACUACACCACACCCACACCCAUAUCCAUUAGGGUGGAUUAACAGCAACAUCGAGAUGAACAUUGAUCGCCAAUGUAAGGUGAAGUUUGCACUGACCGGCGUCUACAUCGACAAAAUGCUGUGCGAGUUUGUGCUGUUGAACAUUUGCAACCUCAUCUUCGGCAGUCCCUACCUAUAGGACCAUGACGCUACCUUUUUACGUCGUCCUUAGCAAUACCAAUUUAUUAAGGAUGGACAAAAAUUUUUGUUCACCAUAGAGCCAUUAUCAACAACUGUAGACCUGGUAACCGCUUGCCAGGCCAUGAGAAUGAUCAAUGCCUGUCAAAAAUUUGCCUUACUCGUCAUUCAGCCAGUUAUAUCUGAGGAGGCAAACAAUAAGAUAUUAAGCCUAGUAUGCAAGGAAAAAACUGAUAAUGUAGCUAAACUUAUCGGUGAGCAUCAGGUUCUAUUUCAAGAAGUACGGGGACUGCCACCAAAGCGAGCCGUGGAACAUGAGAUCCAAUUGAUCAACAACGCUCCAUUGCCAAAUCUCGGCAUGUACCGAACCUCGGUGGUGGAGAAUGAGGAGAUAAAGCGACAGGUGACUAAGUUGCGCGAGAGUGGUGAUAUCAAACCGAGUAGCUCCCCCUGUAGCUCUCCGAUUGUGAUGGUGCCAAAGAAAGACGGCGGGUGGCGAAUGUGUAUCGACUACCACGCUCUCAACAAAAUCACCAUCAAGAACCGGUACAUCUUACUGCGGAUCGAUGAUCUCUUGGACCAACUGAAGCACGCUCGCUACUUCACCAAACUGGACCUAAACUCUAGCUAUCAUUAGGUCCGGAUCCGAGAGGAUGACACCUGGAAGACCGCGUUCAAGACUCGACAAGGCCUGUUUAAAUGGCUCGUCAUGCUAUUCGGCCUUUGCAAUGCACAAGCCACUUUUAUGCGAUUGAUGAACGAUGUUAUAUGCCCCUUCCUCGAUGACUUCGUGAUCGUCUACCUCAACGACAUCCUCAUCUACAGUCGAUCGUGGGAGGAGCAUCUGGUGCAUGUCAAGAAGGUCUUCAUGCUGCUCGAGGAACACCAACUCCGCUUAAACCCUAAAAAGUGUGAGUACGGCAAGCAAAGCCUGGUGUAUCUCAGGUUCGUGGUGGGCGGCGGCGAACUUCAGAUCGACCUCGACAAGGUCAGGGUCAUCAAGGAGUGGCUUAGGCCCAAAAAUGUAACGGAGGUGCGUAGCUUCAUGGGUGCUUGCUAAUAUGUCCGAAAGUUUAUCCGACACUUUUCUGUCCUUACUGCCCCUCUACAUGCACUAACGAAGGUACAACGCUUCUUGGAGAGCAUUCAUAAAGUACAUAGCGAGGUGGAGCGACAAUUACAAAAAUCUCAGGAGAAGUAUAAAGAACGACAUGAUCAACAUCGAGUGAAAGGCAAUUUCCGAGAGGGUGAUCUCGUCUAGCUCCAUCUCAACAAAGAGCGCUUAAAAGGCAAGGGUAAGAAACUUAAACCAAUUCGUUAUGGACCUUUCAAGAUCCUAACCAGAAUUGGUGAGAAUACUUAUCAAUUGGAGUUACCCGCAUACCUGAGGAUGUAUUCGGUCGUCAAUGUCGAAAACCUAAUGUCCUUCGAGCCAUCAAUGUUGGACGAUGAGCCCAAAUAAGUACUGCCAUCCGUGGAAGAUCUCGUGGUGGAACGCGAAGAGCAGCUAGCUGAGGAUACUAUCCUAGAAUGCAAGGUCACGACGACACGCAAAGGUGAAUGUGAAUCCUUCUGUGUUGGACGGAAAGGUCAAAAGCCAAGUGCCGCUAAGUGUUUCACAAGGAAAACUGGGAAAACUCAAUUUCCUCAUUUGCAGUUCUAAAUCCUGCAGUUGUUGGUUCCUCUCAAAAAUUGGGGAGCCAUGAUCCGGGACGAUCAAACCAUCCGGAUAAGUUUCAACCGUUGCGGAUAAGGCGGAGAUCGUUCCAACUACUUCAGUUAGGAUAAGGCAGAGGUUGUUCCAACUACUUCGGUUAGGAUAAGGCGGAGGUGGUUACAACUACUUCGGUUAGGAUAUGGGUCAAGGAGGUUCCAACUAAUUCGGUUAAGAUAUGGAUCGAGUGGGUUCCAACUAAUUCGGUUAGGAUAUGAAUCGAACUAAUUCGGUUAAGAUAUGAAUCGAGACGGUUCCAACUAAUUCAGUUAGGAUAAGAUCAAGAUGGUUUCAACUACUUCGGUUAGAAUAAAAAUAAAGUUGUUAUUUUCAAAAAAUUUUGUGGCCAAUUUGCAUAAAAAAUCCACUUAUUUUGGGCUUUUGCAAAACCGGGCCACCUUUUUCGUUUUUGCAGAUUCGGUCCACUUUUUCAGCAAACUGACCAAAAUACCCUUUUUACUUUUUCUCUUUCCUCUUUCUCUCUCCUCUUCGUUUCUCUCGUUCUUUUUUUUUCUCGCCGGCAGAGCGGAGGCGGAAACGGUCCGUCUCGCCUCCCACCCUCAUUCUCUAGCACUCGCGCGCCCUCACCCUCGCCCUUGCCCUUGUCCACGCACCUCCUAACUUCCUCGCCUCCAACCCCGCUAAGGCCGCGCCACGACUUUUUUUUUUUUUUUGCUUUUUUCUUUUCUUUUCUNCGCGGCGCGGCCUUAACGGGGUCGGAGGCGAGGAAGGUGGGGGUGCAUGGACGAGGGCAAGGGCGAGGGCGAGAGCAUGAGGGUGAGAGGCGAGACGGACCAUUUCUGCCUCCGCUCCACUUCCGCUCUACCCGCGAGAAAAAAAAAAAGAACGAGAGAAGUGAAGAAGAGAGAGAAAGAGGAAAGAGAAAAAGUAAUAAGGGUAUUUUGGUCAGUUUGCUGAAAAAGCGGACCGAAUCUGCAAAAAUGAAAAAGGUGGCCCGAUUUUGCAAAAGCUCAAAAUAAGUGGAUUUUUUAUGCAAAUUGGCCAAAUUUUGUUAUUAUCUUCUUGUAAGCCGAAAGACUAUAAAUAGGGGCCCUAUUGGCUCUUAUAAAUCAUUCCAUUUUUAGAGAGAAUUUAUAUAUAGAGUCUUCUACAUAUAAAUAUUGUGUUCUUUUCUUUUCUUUUUCUUUUUAAUCUGGUUUCAGAUAUCCAUCGAGGAGACGCUGCGACAUUGCUUCCUCCUCCGACGGAUCAUGAACUCCAACGAAUUGAAAUUUUAGCUUAGAACUCUAGAUGACCAGAACGUCAUGACGAUGAACUUUGCAAAGCUAAUUAAAUCUACCAAACUAUAGAUUUUAAUUUGGUACCGGUACUGGACUGAAGUAUCGGUACUCAAUUGCGAAGAGAUAGGGAGAGUUCUCUGGUUUUGCAAAACUCUCCCAAGUAUCGAUUAUAAUUUGCUGAGUACCGAUACUCAUUCGGGCACGUCUAGUACACAAUAGACAACAGUGAAAUCCAGUGUUCGGGUUCUGUGGAACUGGUCUAGAGUACCGAAACUGCUGAGUGGUAUACUGGUACUAAAGCUCGCGUAUCAGUGCUCAACUCUGCGAACAAUAUAUUUCAGCUAGUUGCAGAUAUGAUUGAUUAGAGAGUUUAAAUGAAAUUUUAGCACUCCAUAUAACCCUUCAUAGCCAAACACUCAUUUCUCUCUCACACAUUAUCUCUUCUCCCUCUAAAAGGGAAAAAAGCCUUGCUUUGUCCCUAUUGUUGGAUCUCUUUGAUCUAUCACAUUGGAGGCUUAGAGGAGAUCUAGAACGCCAACGAGAAGCUCAUGGAGGGAGAAGGCAACUAUCUCAACCCACAUUCGUUCCAUUUGGAGGAGAAGAGAUGAGUUGAAGUUUAGGAUUUGUUUUUAGAGCUUUUUUCAAAUUGGAGAUUUUUGGGUUCUAACUUGAUUAGAACUUCUUUUUAGGGUUUAAUUUCUUGAGGUUCUAAUGAGAUAAUUAAAAAAGAAUCCCCUAAGAAGAUUUAAGUAGAGAUGGAGAAUAUCACUGAAAUAAAUUUGAUUUUCUUUUGGUCUAAAGUUUUUUUAGUUCAAAUGCAUGUAUUUUUAUAUAGUGUAGACCAAGAUGUCAUGCAUGUGCGUGUAAGGAGACUUGAGAGGUCUUAUGGGCUUAGGAGCACUUGACCUAAAAAAUAAGAUUUUCAACCUAUUUGCCAUGUUAAAAUAUGAGCACAUGCCAUAUGUAAAUCGAGUAUUAUGUGAACCUUAAAACAUAGAUGACUUUAUAGAGGUAUUAAACCUAGGAUGGAACCUAAGGUGCGGCACAUAAUGACACAUGAAUUCUGAACAAAACUUGAGCUUGAGAAGAAGGAAAUUUGUGAAUGAACUUUGCGAAUAUCCUAGCGGACAUGAGAACUUAAGGUGUUACUAAGAUAUAAGUCAUGACCUUCUGGAAGUGUUAUAUUGGGUGAUGUUGAUUACCCUUGAUGCCCUACUCCAUAUAGGGUGAUGCCGAUUGCCCUCGACACCCUAUAUUGUUCUUGGAGCAAUUUCCUUCGACUCCAAAUGCCUACUGAUUGGAGUUGUUGAUUGCCUUCAACUCUUCAUGAAGUGUUUAGCAAGAGGUGGAACCAAACUAAAUGGUUGGUUAGAGAGAAAAAAGAUUGGGACAAUCAUGUAGGCCAAUGACAUAAUAAAUCAUUAUAACUUAUUGUAUAUACUUGAGGCAUAAUAGUUGUACCUUUUUUCUAUGCAUUACUAUUGUAGUAGCAAUAGAUUUAUUUAUUAUUAUUAUUCUACUAAUGCCUCCUUUAGACUGAGUGGGUGUGGACCGCCACAUUUCACAGUUGGGCCUAUUGGAAACUUAUUUUAUGUUCUCAGCCCAUUGUUGUUGAUAUCUUUUUCAGAGCCAUCUAUCGCUAGUGAUGCGCGGGAUCGUGCAAGAGCGUUGCGAGUUAGAUAGACCGUGUUAGUCAGUCUAGAGGGUACUAUAAUUUGUUAGAAUAACAAACAUGUAAUAUGUUAGGAUGCAAUGAGUAGUAACCUUUAAAGAAGUUUUGAUUGUAUUAGUUUUAAUUUAGAAGUUAAACACUCUGAUUCUUUAUUGUACUCAUUUCAUGUAUCUGUUGUACAGGUUGGUGCAUAUUUUCGCUUCGUACAGAUAAUGGGAACCUUGCCCGUUUGGCGGGUCUAUUGCACAUGGGCCAUGACACUCAGAAUCCAACUUUCUUGAUAAACUCCAAUCUUAUUCAAAACUAAUCACGAUAAUCUGUAAGAGCUAAAGUGAGCUCAGCUACUUGUUUACUCAUGUAGAGUCACGCCCCAGCAAGUGGGUACGUCCUCCAGAGGUGUAGCCCUACAGUUGGCAUAUACUCGAGCCCUCGAGCCAUUUUAGUUGGGCAUCGGUGCAGGUUUGUUCGUUUUUGGCAGCUCGCCAGACACAACGCAGGCUUAACCAGACUCGGAGCUGGUCGCCGUAAUUGGGCAACAUUGACAAAGUGAUUUAACACAAUUGACGCAUAAUGUUCUAGAUUAGAUGAUUGAUAUAAAGGCUUACUCUUAUAGAGGCAUAAUUGUAUCGUCACAUUCAUUAGAAUAAUCAAUCUAUUGUUGUUGCGAAAGGUCUCUUUUCUCUGAUCGAUCGCUUAUGCAAUAUUUAUAAUUUGUUAAAUUCGAAUCAGAAUCCAACCUUUCUAAUAAACUCAAAUCUUAUUUGGAAACUGAAUCACGAAGAUUUGGGCUGAAUCAAACCAUCUAAUAAUUGAAUCUUGAUAAUUUUGGCCAAAUAUUAGAACUGCGAAAUGCUUUUCGCUCGCCAAACAAUGAAUGACAAAGAUUGCCUUCUACUAUUUUCAUCCAAUCAAUUAAUUUGUAUUUUACUCCUCCACGAGCUUUCCUUCGAGAAGAAAAGCCCCACCGCUGCAUUCUAAUUCAGGCCAACUUGGUCCGUGACUGUCUGAAAUAUAAAAAGGCAGACAAGGACUUCACAUGGUAUCUUAGUCCAACUACAUCACAUUAUAUGCAAUAAUUAUCCGAUAGCUUCGACAAAGAAAGGAGUUAAAGAAGCUAAAACCAAAAGGAAGCUGCUCUUUUUCUGAGAAGUUUGGCAAAGAUAACGCCUCUCACUUUCUAAAGUCGCCAACAAUAUGAUGACAAGCGAGAGUGCCUAGCAUGUUAAUGAAAGCAAAAAAAAUUUCUUUAAAGUACACCAGUCUUCACUUUUAAAAAGAGAGAUGUUAUUGGCAUGUUAUUGAUGGUGUGAUACAAAUAUGACACGUUAAACUUACUCGAUAAAAGUGAUCCGUGCUAUUAUUAUUGCUAAUUAAUUUUUAUUCUUACUAAAUAUACAAUAUUGAAAUAUUUUUUUAGCUAUUUAAAGUUUUUGAAAAUUAAUAAUUAUUUUAUAUACUAUUAGAACUGAAGAUCUGUUAAGCUCCUAAUUUUUUUAUAAAUCCUAUUUCUUUAUCCAUUUAAUUUAGUUUUCAGCUUAAACUUGUAAAGAGGAUUAUGGUUGUUUACAAGUAUUAAAAACCAAAAAACACAGGCCAAUUUGCAUAAAAAAUCCACUAGUUUUGGGGUUUUGCAAAACCGGGCCAUCUUUUUCGUUUUUACAGAUUCGGUCCGCUUUUUCGGCAAUCUGACCAAAAUACCCUUAUUAUUUUUUCUCUCUUCUCUUUCUUUCUCCUCUUCUUUUGUCUUGUUCAUUUUUUUUCCCUCUCGCCGAAGAAAGCAACGGAGGCAAAGGCAGAAGCGGAGGCGGAAACGGCCGGCCUCGCCUCUCACCUUUAUGCUCUCGCCCUCGCCUUUGCCCUCGCCCGCGCACCCCCCACCUUCCUCGCCUCCGACCCCACCGAGUCCGUGCCGCGAUUUUUUUUUUCCUCUCCGACUCUCUUCCACCGUCCCUGACAACGACACAUCUCUCGACUUUCCCCGCCCUUCUUGUCUUCUCCCUCUCUCUCCUCCUUUGCCGCCUCCGAUGGCGAUGCAUCUUCACCGACGUCGAUACCGUGGAGAUCGCUGCAGCGCUGCAGCCUCGGAGCGGGGGGUCCUUAGCGGCAUCGUCGCCGACGCCGUGGCCGUUGACAGAGAGGGGUAAUAAAAAAAAAUUAUAGAAAAAGCAAGAAAAAAAAUAAAGAAAAAAAAUUAUAGAAAAAUAAGAUGAAGAUGAAAUUGCACCGUUAAAAAAAAAUUAUACUAUUUUAAAAAAAUGUUGCACUAUUAUGGACAUAAGUUGUACUACUUAAGAUGUAAACUGCAGCUUUAAGAUGAAAAUUACACUCUUUAAACAAAAAUUGCACUCUUUGAGAGAUAUUUACACUGUUUCUCCUCUUAUUGCACUCUUUCAGAUGUAAACUGUAUACAUUAAGAUGAAAGUUACACUCUUGGAGAGAUAUUUACACGGUUUCUCCUCUUGUUGUACUCUUUCAGAUGUAAACUGCACCCCUUUAAGAGAGAUUUAUACUGUUUCUCCUCUUGUUGCAUUGUUUCUCCUCUUGUUGCACUAUUUCUUCUCUUAUUACACUAUUUUUCUUCUUAAACUGCACCCUUUAAGAGGAGAAACUGUAUAACAAGAGGAGAAACAGUUAUAAAUAUCUCUUAAAGGGAUGUAGUUUACAUUUCAAAGAGUGCAAGAAGAAGAGAAACAGUAUAAAUAUCUCUCAAAGAAUGCAACUUUCAUUUAAAGAGUGUAAUUUUUAUCUUAGUGGGUGCAGUUUAUAUCUGAAAGAGUGCAAUAAGAGAAGAAACAGUGCAAAUAUCUCCCAAAGAGUGUAAUUUUAAUUUAAAGAGUGUAAUUUUCAUCUUAAAGCUGCAGUUUACAUCUUAAUAGUGCAACGUUCUUUUAAAACAAUGCAAUUUUAUUUUAACGGUGCAAUUUCAUUCUCAUUUUUCUUUUUCUAUAAUUGUUAAUCUUUAUUUUUUUUCUUACUUCUUCUAUAUUUUUUUUUGUCACUCGUCUCUACCAACGCCGGCGACAACGCCACUAAGAACCCCUGCUUCGAGGCUGCAGCGCCGCAGCGACCUCUACGGUGUCAGCGUCGACGAAGAUGCGUCGUCGUCGAAGGCAGCAGAGGAGGAAAGAGAGGGAGAGGACAAAAAGGGCGGGGAAGGGCAAGAGUGGCGUCGUCGUCGGAGAUGGUGGAGGAGUUUCGGAGAGAAAAAAAAAAGAGUUGCGACGCAACCUCGGUGGGGUUGGAGGUGAGGAAGGUGGGGGUGCACGGGUGAGGGCGAGGGCGAGAGCAUGAGGGUGAGAAGCGAGACGGGCCGUUUGCGCUUCCGCCUCUGCCUCCGCUGCCUCUUCGGGGAGAGAAAAAAAAAUGAACGAGAGAAAAAAAGAGGAGAGAGAAAGAGGAGAGAGUAAAAAUAAUAAGGACAUUUUGGUCAGGCAGCUGAAAAAGCGGACCGAAUCUGUAAAAAUAAAAAAGAUGGUCCGAUUUUGCAAAAGCCCAAAACUAGUGAAUUUUUUAUACAAAUUGGGCAAAAAUUCAAGCCCUUUUUCUUUUGUACUAUCAAAUAUUUUCUAGUUGUACGUGAUGUUUGGUUGGAUAGCAAUCACUUUUCCCAAGGCCAUACUUUUUUGGCCAUGUAGCCAGCUCAAUAGGGGGUCAAGCCGCUAUCAGGUGGGCCUUUUUCAAGGUCUUUAUGGAAGAUCUUUAUUUUUUUAUUUUUUAUUUUUAUUUUUUGGUUUGGAUAGGAGAUUAUUACACUAUAAUUAUAAUUAUAAAAGAGGUGUUUAUAGUUAAACUUUUAAUAAAUUUUUAUAUUUAUUUUUUUUUCAACACUAUACCUUUCGCUUAUUAUUCAGUUUUUGAUUAUGUGAACAAAUAUAAACUGCACUAUAUUUUAAAAUUCUAUUUAAACAUCUUAUUUUUAAAUUUUAUUUGUCAAUUAUGACCUAUAUCUAAUUUUUGAAAAGAACUACGAAUCAUAAAUAAUUAACUAUAUAUUCAGCUUAAUCCGCAUAUAAAUUUAUUAAUAUGAACUAUUAAACGAUUGAUACUGUGUUAUAAAUCUAACUUACUGUUGGUGUGUGACACCCCAAUAGUCCCACAUCGGAUGGGAAAGGAGUUGUCAUUGGGUUUAUAAGAGACUUAGACACUAGUAAUAAUAACUGGGCUUAAGCAUUUGGGUCGAUGGUUGGGCCUAACGAGUUAUUAUUGCUAGUGGGCUGGGUCGUUACAUUUGGUAUCAGAGCCGGUUCACCAGCUAGACAUGUGUAGCGAAUCUCGGCUGAGCCAGGGUCUGGAUGACGGGCUAGCGAGACGAGUCUCACAUCGCCUGGUGAUCUCGGGCUGUGUGUGUGAUUGGACUGACGAGGACGUCAGGGCCUUAACGGGGGGAGUCUGUGACACCCCAAUAGUCCCACAUCGGAUGGGAAAGGAGUUGUCAUUGGGUUUAUAAGAGACUUAGAUACUAGUAAUAAUAACUGGGCUUAAGCAUUUGGGUCGAUGGUUGGGCCUAACGAGUUAUUAUUGCUAGUGGGCUGGGUCGUUACAUGGUGCCGGAAAAGUAGUGCCACAUGGUAAUUCAAUCCACAUAAUUAAAUAGUAGGAACAAAACAAAAGGUGACAUAUGAUACACCAAGAGCCGAAGAAAAGAACGUCUAAACGGAAAAGCGGUUUAGGCGAGAACGGUUAGAGACGUAAAAGGAGAGUUCCGUGGCCAGCAAGGUAUCAACCGAAGUACAAUCCGAAAAAAUAGGGAUGUGGCCGAGAAAACCUCCAUGAUAAGAAUCACCCAAUAAUUGCAGGCGGAAGAAUAUAUUACUAUAAAUAGAAAAAAGUGCGACUGUGAUAGGAGUCCUUCACAUGAGCAAGUGAUUGUUAUGCAUUUUAUAUUGGCAUAUUUCGUGAAGUGAGUCAGAGUCAUAAAAGUUUAAAAAGAAAGGAUGAUAUUUGAAGACUCGAAGACUCAAAUUACGUUUCAACGAUGCUUUGUAAAUUUUUAUAAUGUUAGAAGUAAUAUAUGAAUAUAUUUAAGUUAUUGAAAAUCACUAGAAUUGAUAAAAAUUAUAAAUAUUAAAAGCUGAAAAUUUUUAUAGUUAAGAUCCGAUCAAGGUCAGAUCCUGAUUAUCAAGAUACGAACCUUGCAUGGAGGAUCUGGACCUUGAUACUCUGAAAAGUAUCAUGUCCGAACCUUGAAUAUAAGGUCCGGACCUUGAAUCCGUUGUAAGUUUUUUAAAAUCAAUUUUUUAAUUCUAAUCUUAUUCUAAUUGCUUCCAAACCUAUAAAUAAGAUGUGGGGGUAUCUCUAAAACGUGGUUAAGUAUAAAUUAUCUUUCAAAAAUCCUAGAAGCUUGUAGGGAGCCGUGUUUCUCAUCAUCUACAACAACCUUCCCUCAAAUUGAUUCUUGGUGCCCUAGAUUUUUAAUGUUUUUCUAGAAUCAAUUUGAGAUUUGCUUAGAAACAUUUUCUACGGUUCUUUCAUAUUCAUCUAAGCAAUAAAUUAUCACCAAUAUUAUUCAUGUUGCUCUGGACGGAGUGCACUCGUGGAUUCGAGUGGGCGCCGUGGAUUCGACGUGAUCAAGGCUUCGUGGAUUCGAAGUGUAGACGUUUCGUGGAUUCGAAACGUAGCAUUUGUGGAUUCGAACGUGGGAGUGGACUAGCCAUUAGUGUGCGCGUGAUCCCAAGAUGAUAAAAAAGGAGGUUUGAGUCUGUAAAGUCGGUAAUCAGCGUAUAAUCUUUUAUUCCUUAAUGGAUUGUUAUCGCGUAUUAGUCCCGUAGAUUUUUUACUUUAAGUUGGAGUUUUUCUAUGUAAAUCUCGGUGUGCUAUUUUUAUUUUUCGCAUUUAUUUUUGUUGUAUUGAGAUUUGUGCUUUUCCUAUACACCUAUUCACACCCCUUUAGGUGGUUGAGAGUAUCUAGAUAGAUCCUAGGGUUUUCCAUUACCUACAAUUGGUAUCAGAGCGGGACAAUUUUUCUAUCAUAAUGGGUGAAGGUGGUAAUAUUCUUAUUUUUUAUUAGACCAAUUAAUUAUGCUUAUUGGAAAAUUCAGAUGAGAGCUUCCCAUUGCAAUUGAUCAGUAAGCAUGGCAAGCCAUCGAAUUCGGCUGGAAGCAUCCAACCGAAAUGGUUAGAAAUGCGACCGUACCUAAACUUCGAACUCAGUGGUCGGCGGAUAAAAUCGAAGCAUCUUCUUACAACGACAAAGGAAUUAAUGUCUUAUUCAAUGCUUUGUCUCAAAUCGAACUUUCAAGCGUCUCGGCGUGUGAAACGGCAAAGCAAAUUUGGGAUACUCUCCAAGUUACGCAUGAAGGAACUAACUUGGUAAAGGUUCAAAAACUCUAGAUGUUAACAAGCAAAUUUGAUUCAAUUCGCAUGGAGAAAUAUGAAACUUUUAUCGAGUAUUAUACUUGUCUACAAGACAUAGUUAACACAUGCACAAAUUUGGAAGAGAAAAUCUCAAAAUCGCAAGUUGUAAGAAAAUUUUGAGAACUCUUCCCGAAAGAUUUCGUCUGAAGGUUGCAGCCAUUGAAACUAUAAAACAUUCGGAUGAUUUAAAAGUAAAAGAAUUAGUAGGUGCCUUACAAACGUAUGAGAUAACUUUUCCUACUAAUCAAUCUUCUUUUAAGUCUCAUUUUAAAAGUACAGGUGUUGCACUCAAAUCUAUCAAGGAGGAAGAUAGCAGCUCAGAUUCCGAUGAAGAAAUUUCAAUUACUGAUUUUGUACAUCAACUGUCUCUUUUAACGAAGUAAUUUCGUCAGAACUUUUAAAAGAACAAAACUAACAAAGCUUCAUCUACCAAACAAAAAUCUUUUUCCAAAGGAUUUUCAAAUUCAAAAUUCUCUAGAAAAAAGAAAGUUGCAAAUUUUUUUUUUAAAAAAGAUGAUUUUGAAGGAAAAAUUCAAUAUUAUAAAUGCAAAUUAAGACUAUGGCCGUAUUUCAACGGAUUGUCCUACUAAGAAAUCUUAUAAAAAGAAGGCUUUUGUAAGCGAGAAUUUGGGACAAUUCUACUUUUGAAGAAUCGACAGAUGAUGGCAAGAGUGGGGAGGGAGUCAGACGUUGAUUGCUUAGCCGAGGUGUAUCAGCAACUACUUAAAGAAUCCAAGUUGGCUAAGCAGAACAAGAAGCUAAGAAAACACUUACUUGAGCUAGAAAAUAGGAACAAAACUUUGAGAACAACAAAUAAAGCUCUUGAUGAUGAAUGGGAAUCGAUAUUGAAGAACAAUGGAAUCCUCCAAGAGAAGAUAGACCAAUCGGAGGCAAUGAUCAAAUCACAUCAAGAGAAGAUUGGUUUUGUAGAAAAACAACACAAAGAAAUCCGUACAUCUAACCAAGUUUUCACCAAGCAAGUCCAUCAACUCAAAUCUGACAUACAAAAAUUCUUCUCCGGAUCAAAGAAACUUGAUGAUAUACUGGAAUUGAGUCAAAUGAAUAAACUUAGAGUUGGAUAUGAAGGACAUAUAUUGAGAAGGUUAAGAGUUUAACAUUCAGUCUCAACAAUUUUGAAGAAUAAAGUGUGCCCUAGAUGUGGAAAUAAAGAUCACAUUAAGUCAAAGACAUGCCUGAGAAAAGAAAAGAAAACUCAAUCGUCAUCUUCUAGACAUCAAUUGGCAUCUUCUAACACUUAACAACCUGGAAGAAUUUAAAAGCAACAUCAAUCAAGUCGAGUACUUCAGAAUAACCAGGAGUCAAAGCCACAACAAAUAGUUUACACAAAACCGAAUGCAACAUGGUGACCAAUGGUGGAUCAAAAGUCAAAACAAUCGGUACCCAAUCGCAACAAAUCAAGACAACCAACAAUCCGACAAUUUCGGACUCGAAAAAGUUAUAUCUUUUCUUGUCUUAAGUCUUAAUUUAUUUGACGUUAUGUAGUGCGUUGGUAGGUUUUUAUUGCAUACCUCUCUUAAUCAUUGCAUUACAUUUUUAGGUGCUUUUAUUAUUACAAUUUUUAAAUGUUUUUAUGUUUGCUAAUUGUUUUCAAUGUACAUUGCAUGAUUAUCACUUUUACUUCAUUUUUAUUGUUUAUGAAGAUAAUUUAUUAUAGGAGUCCUUAAUAUUUAUAUUCAUCAAAUUUAGAUAAUCAUGUAUGAUUUUUAGGCACUUCACCUAUCUCGGUUAUGUGUAUUGUAUUUGAUGAAUGGGAAUCUGCUAAUAGACUAAACAUUGUCAAAGUUUUUUUCAAAUAAGAGAUUGCAUUUUGAAGGGGGUUAGAAUUAAAAAAAGAAGAAGAAAACACUCCAAUAGUAUUAAAAGUUGUGGAAAGAGUUACAUCCCAAAAAGAGUUUGAAAACUAUCACUAUAUGUUGAAAAGAGCUACCACUUCGGUCAUCCGGUAAGUGUGUUAAGCUACCACAUGAAACUCUAAUGCAUAACCAGAAAGGUUAAAAAAGUGUUCACUAAAAAAAAUUAAAAUUUUGGUGCAAUAAGGUGAUAUAUUGAAAAGAUGCUCAAAGAGUCACUCCAGUGCAUUACUUGGUUGGUCUCAAAUUUAAAAAGUUAUACGACGAAUUUAUGUCAUUUAGUGAAUAACUAUAUGUCAUUUUCAUAAUUCUUUAUAUCUUGAUAGCUUUUAGACCUCUAGAUUAUUUUAAUGACUUGAUUUUGAAGUAUAUAUGAAUUAAGAAAUCUCGUAAUAAUUUAUCUAUAUUUUGAAAAUUUUGUAGUAAAAUAAUUUCUAUAAAAUUGAUGUGCAUUAAAAGAAAUCUAUGUGAAUUUUUCAAUGUUCAUACACUAACAUUAUUGUUUUUCACAAUGCAAUCAUCAUAUUUUGAUAUUUUAUCAAGUUAGUUUCGAAAUUUUUUAAAAAAAUUUACACUUGAGUUUCUUGUAUACUACAUUCCGGUACUUAUAUUUAAUUUCUAUCAAAACUCUCUAUUUUUGGUGCUACUCUUUUUGGCACCUUUUGACUAAAAAGGGGAGAGAAAUGAGAUUUUAAAACAAAAAAAAGGGAGAGAUUAAAUUUAGAAAUUUUGAUUAAAUUAAAAUUUAAAAUCAUUGUGAGGAUUGAGAAUUUGACUGUGAAACUAAACUCUUUGUUGUCGAUGUUUUUAUGUGUAAUUGAAUUACAUAAGCACUCAUCAAGUUUCAAGAGAAAACGAGUUAAGAUAGAGAAGUUACGCGAUCUUUACUAAUAACUUAAGUGCAUAGUAACUUGGGUUUUUCGGAGAGGACAAUCAGUGGAGAUAGCUUCUGGCGCGUAAUGGACUCCAUUCAUAACGAUCCAAUAGCUCGUUUUCAAUGGUCCGACUAUUCUGGAACCAUUGGCCCUGAUGGAUUUUAGAUAUGAGGCACGGUUUUCGAGAAAAAUAGAGAUAUAUGUAUUCUAUGUAUUUGUGUGCGGGUUUUCCAUAUUGGUGAGAGGAUGGAUUUCGUCGCGAAUCUGCGACCAAACCAGGUGAAACAAAAUCAUGAGUUUGAGGCCCCGGUCAUGCUGAACGCGCUGGCGUGAUCCGAUCGGAAAUCUGACGGACAUAUAUCCUGGAAUCGCAUAAAGUUCGCUGAGGGGUCGAAAUUGGCAAAACGGCAAAACGAAAAAUCUGCGAAAAGCCCAAUAUUUUAUGUACCGUUUUGUGUGAUUUCGAACGUCGAGGUGAUUGUGUGCAAAAUAUACGCGCUGGCAAGGACUCAGCUGAAAAUAAUCAGCUUUGGGGGACUGUCUCAUAAUAUACGCAAUAUGUAUAUAAUGUUCAUCUAGGGUUUCAAUGCUCGAAAUCCUAGACCUAGCCGGCCGAGCUCCCCAGCUAACCCUAGCCGUCAUCAGCACCACCUUGCCAUAGCCGCGCGCACACCCCGGCCGUCGGCGAGCGCACUCGGCUGCCGAAAAACUAGCCGGCAUUGAAAAUCCUCUACGUUGGUUUCUCUCAUCUCUGCCGUGAGCAACCCAGAGUCAUCCACGCGCUGGGCCUCCAUUUCCUGGCCGAGACCAGACCUCUGGCGUCAUCCCCACCGGCCCCCGUCGUUCGCGCGCACCGCGGGCGCCACCUGGGAGAUCCGCGGCCACCCGCGGUCAGCCCAGACCGAACUCAGCUGAGCACGAGGCCCGCGUGCCGUCGCUGUCACGCCCCGGGGUCCCUUUUAAGUUCCAAAACACAGCAGAAGGAUCUAAAUUUUUUUUAAAAAAAAUCUGACCCCCAAGGUAUGCAAGAUCCGCCACAAAUGCAGGGGGUCCACUGUUCACAUGGACAGAGUCUCCCCUGUAUUUGCACGGCGUCACACAAGUACAAGAUGUAUAACCAGGAUACAACCACUAUAAAUGAAUAUACAACAUUCAUACAUUCAGAUGUUCAUACACCAUUCGUCACAGAUUCAUAUUCAGAAUUUAAUCAUAAAACAACAACUAUUAGUUAAAACGUUUCCUACUCGGAAACAGGCUUUGAAAUACUAAGUUACAAAAACCACGAGAAAACCUUUUAAAACUGUUUCCCACACGGAAACUCUUUUCUUUUAAAACACGCUACCAUGAGGGGUAGAAAACCAUUUCCACUUCAUAGAAAUUCACAAAUCUUUAUUAUAUUCAGAAAACCAACUAAAAUCUUGAACAUUCAAACAUAAUGAAAUACUGAAUCAUAUUAGCUGUCUAAGUUAUAUCAACAGAAAUAAAGGGGAUAACUACUAAAUUGAACAAACCGGGUCGGAAGCUCUAGCGACCGCUACGAACGUGUCUCACGUCUCGUCUCAACCCUCACCACUCUCAAUACCUGAAAAAUGAUGAGGGAGGUGAGAACAUGUAAACAUGUCUCCCCUCCCAGUGGGUACCGCAAGCCAAUGAAGGCGAGAAGUACUCACCGGAUCAGAAAGAGAUAAUAACAAUAUGGGUAAGUAAAAUACAGUAACAACGAUAAUGAACGAAUGAGAUAUAUAUAUGCAUGAAAGAACGACUACCGCUACUGUAUGUAUGAAUCAACGGACGACACGUCCAAAUACCCAAUCAGAGAUAGCCAUAUUGGUCCCCAACACCUCAGGCCUGUGCCACAACUGCUCAACCUAUACGUGACCCUACGUGACCCUCGCAUAAAGCACCCGGGUCAGAAAGUAUAAAACCCUCGCAUAAAGCACCCGGGUCUCACGGGCUGGCACUCCGAACCACUUUUCCGGAAAAGAACACCCUCUUGCGAUGGAUCAGACCGCUGGUGUUCGUGAAAUGCAUACAAGCAGUGGCGAUCAAUGCUGAAUGCUCAAUAGCCAACCGUCGGCAACUAGCCGACAAUCCUGCCCACUAGGGGCACACUGAUCGUAUAGGUCAUCACAGAAUCCAACCGACCAACAAGGUCACUGAUACGAAGUACGAGAACCGAGCAACCAGGUCAACAGAUAUGGAAUGCAACAACCUACCAACCAGGUGAACAGAUACUGAAUGCAACAACCGAUCAACCAGGUCAACAGAUACGGAAUGCAACAACCGAUCAACCAGGUCAACAGAUAUGGAAUGCAACAACCGACCAACCAGGUCAACAGAUACAUAUGUAGAUAGAACUACUUUACUCCUACUCAGGAUACUAAGCAUGCAAACAACGAGUAGAGUAUAAUGGAAUAACGUGGGUGCAAGGCUCAAUAUAUACUAUGCAAUAGUAACAACAGGAGAACAGGGGUAGAAGGAUAUCACCGAGCGUGCACCACUGUACCGACUUCGGAUCGAAGUACCUACCUGUAAGAAUAUCGCGCCGGUCUCCUGACUGCGAAAGAACGUCAACUGGACCUAAGCAGGGUCCACCGGGUUAGUGUCUAACCCACAAUUAACAACCACGAAUCCACAACCCCACAAACAAUCCCACGGAGAUCGGUUUCCCAAAAUCGACUACUGUAACACACCGGAAGUUUCGAAAACCGCAUCGGAACUCUACCGGGACCCACGAACUGUCCCGGAACACACCGACUCGACCACAAGUCACCCGCUGCCACUAAACACAUAGUUUCAUGUAACUUGGUAGCAAAAACACUAACUCACUCCGAAACGAUUAUCAUCGGAUAAUCGUUCCAAUCCGGGUUCCCGGAAGUGUCCAAUUCGACACCGGAACCCACCAUCGCUCACCCGUCGUUUUCGAACCCUCGAAACAAUGCGGGUGACCAGCCAACAAGGCUCAGUGAUGACACAAAUUAUCACGAGGCAUCGUCAGAAGAAUUCCGAACCGAAAACAUGUUCCGUCGGCGGAUUUCGUCGAAAAACGCACUGAAAAUCAACAUUUGAUUUCCGAAAAAGCCUGGGGCCUUGGACAACCAGUCCAGAGGUCACCCCUGUCCUUACACACUACCCACAGUAGCCACGAAGUGCACAAUUGCACAAAAGCCCCUGCAAAUACCUAAAAUCACAUUAUUUUAUGUGAUUUUUGGGGUUUUAUGGCCCGACAGCGCAAACCGAGGACCUCCGAGCCUGGCCGAGACACUCACUGAUAGGUCUCGACGUGCCAGAGACCGUGCUCACCUUUCGGAGCACUGUCGGCCACUGAGGAGAGCACGGGAGCGACACGAAAGUCUGCGAACUGUGCGCACUGCAUGAAAAACAUGCUUAUCUCGCAAAUCAAGGGCUAGUUGACCCCAACGAAGGUAGCCACGAUGAUCAGCAAUGAUCAAGGAUUAUCGUGCUCACCUUCAGAGGUGUAUGGUACGUUUGUUUCCCGGCAAUGAGUUAUGACUACGGUUAUGUGUGGUACAUUCCUCGCCCGGCAAUAACUUAUGAUUACGGGUAUGUGUGGUAUAUGACUCGCCCGGCUAGAGACUCAUGGUCAAGGGUAUGUGUGGUGUACUCCCCACCUGACAGAUGAGCUAUAUCGAGUGGAUUUAAGACCAAGGUGCAUUUGGCACGUUCCUCUCCUCAAGCCUAGACAAACAGCGAUAAUUUGUUGAUGGUUGAUUCAAGAGUGAGUCACAUGGUAUAGCCUGGCUAAAGUAAGAGAAAUCUUAGGAGCAGACUUGAUAAUAAAUGGAUAGUGAAAUAGAAAGUAGAAGAGGUAUACCUACUUGCAUGAUUUUUAUUAUCGUAUUUACCUGAGGCGUGAGUAUAGUUAUGAUUGUAUUUACAUUUCAACUUAUCUGUAUUUACUAUAUGCUUUUGAUGCCUCCUUUUGACCUGGUGGGUUCAAGAUUCUCUCUUGGGUGGCCAUACCCACUAAGAACUAUUUUUAUAGCUCUUACGCCUAUAUUUUUCAUGUCCAUACGUGCGCAAUGAAAGAAUGUAGCUCGAUAUUUAGCGUCUUGCCAUUGUGACCAAAUAUAGAUGUACUUUGGGACAGUGUAACUUAAAGGUAUAGAAAAGAAAUGAAGAAAAAUAUAAUAACAAAUUGAUUGUAUUUGGAAAGGAAAAAUAUAAAUAUAAUUUGAAAGUGGUGAAUGCAUAUAAUAGUUAGAUACUUUAUGUUUUUCAUGCUUCGCCACAAUUUCAUUUAGCGGCAACACUUUCGGUGGCAGCUUGUGGCGACUUUAAAAGUAGCCACCUUUUAAAAAGGUGGCAACUUUUUAUAUAUAUGGUGGCGACAUUACUCGCCACCAAUAUAUAAUAUUCUUGUAGUGUUAUGAUGUUUUCCUUAUACAAUUUAUGUAGUAAUUCUAUUCCUGUUUGGAAUGUAUGAUGAAUUAUAUUGGUUGCGAAACCUUUGGCGGACAGGUGAGACUCUGUCCGUUCAGGGCUUUCGCCUAUUUAGGGAUGAAAUGGUAGGGCAUGACAAACUAAGCUGGUAUUAGAGCAUAGAAAUGAUCUAGAUGGAGCAAAGAGAUCCUAGGAUGGUAACCCAUAAGGAACUACGCUCGUGAGUGACGAGAACUUGUGAAAGUGGCGAAAAAUGAAACUAGGUGAUGAGAAUAAACGCCGUUGUGUGACUUUCACCUACUUGAGUCUGAUGUUUAAAUGUCGUCUUGUAUUUAACCUUCAAGGCCAAGGAGUUGACCAGGUUGUCUGGUUUCAGGAGGUAAGGGUAUCACAUGGCAACCUCUGAUGGGAUCUGGACUGAAAGUGUCGUUGGAGGCCCCCGAGCAAUCCGGGACGAGCGGAGAUAUUGAACUCCGUGGACAGUUGGCUAUGCUCAUCAAAGUAGUGUAGCGACAGGAGAACCAUAUUAAGAUGCUCUAAGAGAUGUUGGCGCAACAAAUAGUUACGGCCUGGAUGGGUCAAGAACCACUUGUUCCUCCAGUCAGCGCCCCUAAUCAAACUAAUGGGGUAGCUGCGACGACCGGGCCUAUAGUGGCAUGCUGUGUACCAUCAGGAGCCGCGAUGAGUACCCCUCAAGCGGGUUUGGGUACCUUGGCCCCUAGUUACGUGGAGAUGGAGGCAGAAAGAGAGCGAGCACUUGCGAGCGUCAUAACUUUUAAGAUGUUUAAUAUGCCUCCCUUCGUAGGAGAGUCAGUGGAUCCGUGGGUCGUGAAAAUAUAGAUAGACUCUAUGGAAACUCUCUGUGAGGACCUAUACACCUUAGAGAGGGGUAAGGUGCAUCUUGCUACACAUUGCUUAUAAAAGUCGGUAAGGGUGUGGUGGAAAGGAGUCAUGCGAGACCGAUCCCCCAGUCUUCCUCUGAUCACUUCGAAGGAGUUCCGAGGAUUGGUGUUCUUUACUGAUUUUUUCAAUAGUGAGAAGAAAUAAAAUUUGAUUUCUAGAAGUACUAAAUGCUCUAGAUAACGUUUAAUAGUAUGGUUCAUCGAUUCGGAAGCUAUAUCAUCAAAAACGACUUAUGAGUAUGAUGGCGAUCGUACUUGUAAGAGUAUAGUAGUCGGACUAUAUAUAUAUAUACAUAUAUAUAGAGCAGGGCUGCUGAGCCGUUUUCGAUGAUGGAAUUUUUGAAUCAACGAUCGGCUCCGUUAGACUUAAUCUAACGUAUUUGAAGUUUCUAGAAAAUAAUUUUUGCGAUUUUUUGAUAUCAUUUACCUAGUGAUCGAAAAGAUUCAAAAUCAAUAAUUUUUAAUGGUUGAUAUCUACUGUUUUCAAGUUUAACGGUGUAGUAGUAUUCAAAUCAGAUGAAAUUUUGAUACAAAAUUUUUUAUAAUAUCUACAACAAGAUCAAUAUCUCUUAUCGAAAAUUUUGUGCUAUAUCACCACCUUUUAUAGAAUUUUUAUUUUCAGCCGUUAAAAAUUAUUGAUUUUGAAUCCUUUCGAUUGCUAGGUAAAUGAUAUCGAAAAAUUCAAAAAUUAUUUUCUAGAAACUUCAAAUACGCUAGAUCAAGUCUAACGGAGCCGAUCGUCGAUUCCGAAAAUUCCAUCAUCGAAAACAGCUCAGGAGCAUGGAGGCCUCUAUGCUCCUGAGAGCACAGCAGCCCUGCUCUAUAUAUAUAUAUAUAUAUAUANNAGUAGUCCUACUCUAUAUAUAUAUAUAUAUAUAUAUAUAUAUAUAUAUAUAUAUAUAUAUAUAGAGAGAGAGAGAGAGAGAGAGAGAGAGAGAGAGAGAUUUGAGCUGGAAUGCUAUCAAUAGCAUUUGAACUUUUUUGUUAUCGAUUUUUUGGCCAUUAGAUCUACAAUUUGAUCAAUUCCAACCUUUAAAUCAUACUAUUCAAACCAACCAUCCACUUAAUCCUACGGGGGCCACUAUCAUCCUAAACCUAUAAUUUUUCAUCCAAUGGUUAAGAACUCGAUUAUAAAAGAGCCUAAAUAUUAUUAAUAGUAUGCCCAAAUAUAUAUAUAUAUAGAGAGAGAGAGAGAGACAGAGAGUUGUACUUCUAUACUUUAGAAGCUCCUAUACUACAGUGUUUUAAACCGUUGGAUCCUCUUUGAGAUCCGUGCACAGGUUUGGGGGAUUAAAGUGGGAUGAAGUGGGAUGUAGCUAGUACCACCGUUAACAGAGAAAUAACUGAGGAGAAAGAAUCCCACUUCAAACCCCCUCUCUCUCUCUCUCUCUCUCUCUCUCUCUCGUUAACAGAGAAAUUAAAGAGGAGAGAAAAUCCCACUUCAAAUCUCUCUCUCUCUUUAGUUAUAAUAAAUUUAUUUUUAAGGAUACAUAGAAACAUUGAUAAAUUUUUCUUUAAAAAUCAGAAAAAAAAAAUAAAAAUUUUAGCACAAAUCUUUUUUUUUACAUAAUUUUUAUUUUUUAUAAAAAUCAGUAAAAAAAUUAAAAUUGUACCAAGAAUCGUGUAUUUAAAUUUUUUUUGCAGAAAAAAUAAAAAUUUAUUUAGUACCAAUCUUGUAGAAAUUUUUUAAUAAAAAAUUUAAAAAAUACNUUUAAUAAAAAAAUAAAAAAAAAUACAUAGGGAAAAAAAAGAAAAUACAAGUAUCUUGUAUUUUCUUAAAAGAUCCAUAGCUCAUGACUCCUUUUUUUAUAAAUUUUAAAAAAAUUAUAUUAAAAUAUAAAAUUUUAAUUCAAUAAAAAAAUAUUAGAAAAAAUAAAAUAAAAUAAUUAUUUUUUAUAAUUGUAAAAGGAGAGAGAGAUAGGGGAGAGAGAGAAAGAGAAAGAGAGAGAGAGGGGUUUGAAGUGGGAUUCUCUCUCCUCUUUAAUUUCUAUGUUAACGGAGAGAAAGAGAGGAGUUUGAAGUGGGAUUAUCUCCUCAAUUAUUUCUCUGUUAACGGUAUUACUAGUUGCAUCCCACUUCAUCCCACUUUAAUCCCCCAAACCUGUGCACAGAUCUCAAAGAGGAUCCAACGGUUUAAAAUACUAUAGCAUAGGAGCUUCAAUACGAUUGAUAGUAUAGAAGCACAACUCUAUAUAUAUAUAUAUAUAUAUAUAGGUCGGCUACUAUACUAUUAUGAGUACGAUCGCUCUCGUACUCAUAAGUUGUUUUCGAUGAUAGAGCUUCCAAAUCGACGAUCCACACCGUUAAACGUUAUUUGCAGCAUUUAAAACUUCUAGAAAUCAAAUUUUAUAAUUUUUCGACAUCAUUUACCUUACGAUCAAGUGGUCACAAAUUUGACAAUUUUUAACAGCCGGUAUAGGAUACUUGCUAGUUUAACGGUGUGUUGGUAGCCGAAAUCUCAAAUCCCUGACCCGGUCAAAGAUCCUCCUCAGGAAGCGCGUCGGGAUGCGAAACGGCUGUGAAUAGUGACCCUCGAAGUUUGCGCCCUUUGAUUGAUCAAGCGAUUCGGUUGACGAAGGAUCGGGUCAGCCGGGUUCGAAACCUCUACAGCAAAUUCGGUUCGGCUGGAUGAGCCGAAUGAACAAAAGAAGUCAGAAUUUCAGCCAAGGAAUGAGCCGAAUGGCUAAUACAGCACAGGAACUGGUCGGCCUGAAGAGCCGGACACUGCCUUCUAUUGAAAGAGAACGGAGAAAGUACAGGAAAGAGGGUUUUAAUCUACAGCGGAGUGAUGCCCAAAGGGCAGACAGACUCCAGGAUGCUAAGUUACAGGAACUACUCCUAGGGAAAGUAGUAAAUGCGAGAAAGAAAGAUGCAGGGAAAAUAAGGUUGGUCUUUCGUGCGCAAGGGCCAAGACCUCUUUUUAGGGUAUUAUUACCCUAUUUAUAGAUAGCACCCUCGGUCAGUUAUUGUUCUUACACGAUCGGCCAAUAUCUCCUCGUAUUCCGGACCACUUCUAACCAAUUGGAACCACAUGUAACUGCUUGCGGUUACCGUAACUUCCUUCAAUUGGCGCGACACAUUUUUCUAGUGCUCCCGAUGCACAACCGAAUAGAUACUUUUGAAGGGAAUAUUCACACCGAUCCUAUCCGCGCCUAAUUGGCUCAACAAUUGCCCCCUCGGCAGCUUUCGAAGUAACACUUCGGUAGCUGGCGUGAUCUGAGACACGAUUACUUUUCAACUUCCCGGUAUGGUUUCAUCUCAGCCGUCCCUUUUUUCGUUGCCGAAAUCCUGUAAUUGCUUCGAUAACAAGCGCGAGCCGAGGUGUCGUUCUCGGUCCAAUCACAUUCAAAAUCUCUGUACCAGUACUCGACGUAAUUCGAGGCGUGACCCUCUGUACGGUUCAAUCUUAGCCGUUUAUUUUCUUUCUUACGGCCCGAUCUCAAUUCUCAUUUUGUCUCAUCUGCGGCAUUAACUAGGUUAUCUUAAUUACCGCCGUCUAUUCAUCAUUAAAGCCGACCUCGAAACUCACUUCGACGUGACGGUUCGAUACGACGGCCUUUCUUCUUCUCCAAGCUUUUCAUUCUUUUUGUCUCUUCUAUUUCUUCUUCGUCUUCAAUGAAACUUUUCUUUCGCUUCCCUUUCCUUCAUCUUCUCUGAUUUCUUUUAUUUUUCGCUUCGCUUUUUUCUCUUUUCCUUUUUCGACUAAUGGCGCUGGUUCCGCCUCUUCCUUCUCAUCCAUCCCUGGAUUAUACUAUACUUAAACCCUUUGUCGACUCAGACCUCUCUAGAUUUAUUUUGUGUCAUUCUCUUACAGAAGUGCCAUCCCCUAUCGACUCGACCUUUUCUAGCGACGGUCUUCCCCAGAGAAAAGCUAUUCAUCUUCAGUCUUGGUACUCUUCUGCUUCAACAGGAAAGAGUCUUCGAACCUGGCCAAGUACUUCAGAGGCAUAUUUAACCUGGUUAGAUCAAGUAGAAGCCGCCUUUGGUGACUUUUGACGAGAGGUUGGGAUAUAUGAAGCUAUCCAAUUGUCUCGGCAUCCUCCUAUUCCCGAUACUCUUCUUCUAGCCGCCACUCUGUGUUUUUGGUCCCCUGCUUCUAAUGUUUUUCUUUUCAAAAGAGGACCUCUUACCCCCACUCUUUUUGACGUGGCCGCCAUUAGUGGCUUGCGCCCUCAUGGCGUUACUGUUUCUAUGUCUUAUAAUUCUGACGGCAUAUCUGAUUUUGAGGACCGUUUAGACCUCAAUGACUUGGCUUACUCUAAGUUUAUCCGAAAAUUCGCAGGUGAAUCCCCUGCUCCCGUUACUAAGAACGAACAUAUGGCAUUCCUCCUUUAUUGGUUAUGUCAUAAUUUCUUCUGUACACCUUCACAGAAGAUCAAUCGUGACUUUGUUCCAAUCGCCGUUGCUUUGUCUAACGGCGAUAGAUUAGCUCUAGGGCCUUGCUUUCUUACCUUUGUCUAUAGAGAAAUUUUUGAUUCUAUCAAAAUACUGCCGUCUGGAGAUGGUAUUGCCAUCAGUUCUGGCUGCGGUGUUUUCUGGUUUCUUCAAAUGCUUUUACAAUUCUAUAUUCCCGCUUUAUGUCAAUCUCCUUUUAAUCCGACUUCGGUUGCCCAAUUUGAUUCUUAUGGGUUAGCUCUCGGCUGUCCACAGCCGAUGACUCCGGGUCAACCUUCUGACUUUCUUAUGAUGGUUUUGAAAUAACCCAAGGAUCUAUCUAGAUUGUAUCUAUCACCUAGAGGGGGGUGAAUAGGUGAAAGAACCAAAAACCACAAAUCUCAAUGCGAUAAAAAUAAAUGCGGAAAAUAAAAAUCACACCGAGAUAUACGUGGGAAAACUUCAACUUGGAGAAAAACCCACGAGACCAACACACGAAAAAAUAAUUCACUAAGAGAAAAGAUUACAAGGUGAUUACCGACUCCACGGACUCAACCUCUCUUAACCUCCUAUGAAUCUCGCGCAAUCCUCCGGGUUGUCCACGCCCUCACGUUCGAAUCCACGAACAUCUCGCACACGUCCGAAUCCACAAACGCCACUCGAAUCCACGAGCCCACGAUCCGAAUCCACGAACCGCCGUCAAUCACGCCGAAUCCACGACGCCAUCAUGAAGAACGUCAUGAGUAUGGUGAUCCUUCGCUUAGAGUAUCGAUGAAAAUCAAGGAAGAAGACUUCAAGCGAAGACUAGAUCAAAUCGACAUAUAGCGAAUGCGAAACGAUACCUCGAUUUGAUCUAAAGAGGCUAAUUUGUAGAAAAUAGGUUUAGAACGAAAUACUAGCCUCUAGGGUUCUUUAAUUGUGUAUUCUUAUGAUAGAUGAUCGAUUAGAGAACCCCUAUAGCUUAUUUAUAGACUUUAGAAUCAAAACGGAGUAGGAUUAGAAAGUUUCUUUCCGUAUUCAGCACCUUGUACCGGUACACGGGAAGCUGUCCAGGGUACAGCAUGACGGAAGAUUUUUCUACAAAGCUUCUGUACCCUGAACAGACUGCAGCUUAUUCCGGAACAAGGCUUGUACCGGUACAGCCAUGAUGGUUGUACCGGAACAACCAUCGUAAUUCCCUGCGGCAAUAGCCGUUGUCUGUACCGGUACAGAAAAACCCUUGUACCGGUACAAUAAUGCAAUUUUCGCUGAAAAUGCAUUGUUUCGAGUUUUACAAGCUCUUAAAAACUUUCUAAUCAAUUACAACUUGAAAAUUAUGAUUCUAAGAUCUAAAAUUAAGUAUGAAUCACCAUAAACAAGAUUUAAAGCUUACCUAAGUAUUGUGAUUCAAGUUUUGCGUGUUUUGCGUCCUUUCCGAUUCUUUGAAGUCUUAGAUUCUUCGAUCUUCAAUACUCCACUCCGGACUUCUUCAGGACUCCGACUCGACCCAUGAAACUUGCCAACACAUGGGACCUAACAAUCUCCCCCUUUGGCAAUUUCGUAACAAAACACACUCAAAACACAAACAUUACAUUUAAAGAAAAGACGAAGUUCAAUUGUCAUCACCAAAACAAUGAACCUAUCGCGUGUAAUCCAAAUACAAAUUAAAACUCAAAAUACAUUCAAAACUCCUAAAACAGACUCUAUGACUUAGACGCAACUAGGAGUCUUGAAGUCUUGAAAUCCUGCAAAACAUUCCACAAUAAUAUAAAGUUUUACAUUCAAUUGAUUCUUUUACCAUUCUCCCCCUUUGUUCAUCACUUCUCCCCUUUGUUUCGUGAACCUGUUCAUCACUUCUCCCCUUUGUUUCGUGAACCUGUUCAUCACUUCUCCCCUUUGUUCGUGAACCUGUUCAUCUCGUGUCACGCCCCGGGACCGGCGGAGGCCCUCCCGGUAGCGUGCCCAAACCCGCCAUAUGUCUACACAUAUAAGGCGUCUACAAUAAAAGCGGAAGUAAAAGCAAGAAAUAGAAUAAAUAGAAGAAGUGAAAUAACUAGCAACUAAUGAUAUCAGAGCGAGUAAAGUUCUAGCAUCUACACCAAAGUAAAUAAGUAAAGCUAGACAAUAAAAAAAAUCAUAAGUAGUACAAUAACUGUCUCUAGUACAAAAAUGGUGGUCUCUAGUACACUGGUAAAACCCUCAACCUCUCGCCAAAAAGAAACACAUCGAGAGGUAGACCACCUAAACUCGUCUCUCGCUGAAGGGCUAACUCGAAGCGACGCCCUUACCACGGUCCCUAGCCUCUCCCGGCGUGGAAGGCUCUGAAAGAAAACAUAAAACAGAGGGCGUGAGAACUAUAAUUUAUAGUUCCCAGUGGGCAAUUACUGACCUCAGCUCAUUGCACCACUAGGCCCAAAAGAAAAGGGUAAGUCAAAAGCGAUAGUCAUAACGAGUAAUUGCAACUAUGAAAGCAUAAUGAAAUACUAAAAUAUUACUUGCGACUAAACAUGGCAUUUAUGUAAUGCACGAUUAUCCUGUCAUGAAGAGUAUGUCUCUACUUAGCCAUAAAUAAUGUCAUGGUUUGCUUAAAUGAAAUUAUGAGGAUUAUCCCUUAUCAUAGCAACAUUGUUUAUAUGAAUGCAAUUAAACACUGCCUCCUAGCAUACUACAUGUAUGUAUGUAUAUCCAAAGUCCAAACCUACGCUAGAAGCAAGUCCGAGUAAUCCAACUACCACUCUCUAUUUAGUAGUGAUUAUAACAAACUCAUCCCGUGUCGAUUUCCAUUUCCAAUUAGGGACCUACCAAGGGUAGUCCAGCUUGUGCCGCCUAAGUGCCUGUGGUAGCCCAACAUCCCUACUCUUGGAAUGUGUCUGUCCCACUCGACCCCGUAGGCUUCUCAAUACCGCACGAGCGAACAUAAGUCGCGUAGGCUAACUCCGGAGUGCCGGCUUGUAGGGAGCGACCCUCACAAGCAUGUGCGAAUGAGCACAAAUGGCAAGCAAGCAUAGUCCAAGUCUCAAGUAUCCAAUCCUCAUGUCUCUAAGUGAUGUCCCAACACUCACUUGCUUAGUGCCUCUUUAUGACACUUAAGCAUCACAACAGAUCAAGCCCAAAUCUUGUUCUAUGUUUCCAUUAAAACAUCAAUACCAAUGAUUACCAUGACCCGGGCCCCAAUGCCACUUUAUGACAUUGUCCCAAUUCUCAAAUAGUCCAAGUUCCCAAGCCCUCUCUAGGCUCCUAACAUUCCUAAUGUCACAUUUGGCAUAUAGGUUAAAUGCAUGAAAGCAAGGUUUAUUUACAUAAUAAGGAUCAUGGUUCCCAAUUAUAAAUAGAAUGCUAAGUCUCACAUGCAUGCACUCUACCACAUAGGGGUCUAAAAUUUCACUAUACAUAAUAUAUGCAUGUUAAGCAUUCUAAAAUUCAUAUUAAAUACAUUUAACAAGGAAAUGCAUGAAUUUCUAUUUUACGAAACAUAUUUGCCAAAUAUGAGCAUUUCUCAUAUCAUAGGCUAGGUCAAACCCACCGAACCGUCGCGUGCUCCUUCGAUUCGCCGAACGGAGUUGUCCACGAGUCUCAAAGUACCCUAAAAGUGAUCAGCGAAGAGAUACGAGGGCAUUACGACCAACCAUAAGAUCAAACAUUAACCUAGAAGCAAAAAGGGCCAAAACUCACCUCAAGAGAAGAAAUCUCUUCCAAAGCUCCAAAAGAGAGCUAGAACCCUUCCAAUCCAAGCCCAAGGAAGGUUCUAAACCAAUUAAUCUAGCCUCAAAAGCCCUAGAUCAAAAAGCCCCAAAAUCAACCCUAAAUCUCAUUUCUAGGGUUCCAUCUACAAAAACUAUCAAAACAAGAUCUAGAGGAGGGAAAUGAGCAACAAACCUCCUUAGAAGCUCCAAUCCUAGCUCCAAGGGUGAAGAUCUCCUCCUAUGCAAGCUCCAAGUCCAAGCCUUCAAGCACCAACAAGGUGGGAAGAGGAAGAGAGGCAAAAGAAUGCUCCAAGCCCAAGCUAGAUCCUCCUCUUCUUCUCCUCCUUCCUCUCCUUCUCCUUCUUCUUCUUCUUCUCUAUCAAGGGUGUAGAGAGGGUUGAGAGAAGAGAAAUGGGGAGAGGAGAGAGUGGAUGGGUCAUAUAGACCCUCUAAUGUAACAAAAUCCCAAGAGGCCCCUCAAAAAAACAGUAUUACAUCAGCCCGGUCUGGGCAGUUUUCGCCCAGAGGGACCGGUCUCUCCCCAGCAGGGACCGGUCUCUCGCUGCGAACCCGAAAAACCAACGUUCGGGAACCGGUCUCUCCCUGCGCGGGACCGGUUUCUCACUGCGUAGACGCGCUCGGGGACCGGUCUCGCCCGCCAGGGACCGGUUGCCUCAGGGCUGCCGCAGCAUUGCUCACUGGGGGACCGGUCUCUCCUUUUAGGGACCGGUCCCCGAGAGUAAAAACUCUCAGGACUGUCCAGAAUUUCAGUUUUCGAACUUUUUAGGUCGAAAAGCAUUCUACAACCCUCCCCCAAGUGUGAAAAAGCUCGAAAUACAUCCAAACACUCGAACCGUGCAAUUUGCAAAGGUCCAGUGCGUCACAUCUCGUGAUCUCCCCAUUUUUGUCAGAAAAUUGCCAAAUAACUUAAAAAGAGAAAAUCCACUAGAAAGAAACAUCAAAGUUAAAAUAUAAAUACAGGCCUAAGAGAGAAAGCAAUAAAUACAAGUAGAAGUGUAAACUAAACAUGAAAACAUAAACCUAAGAUAAAAUAUGAAGCUCUAGAAAACAUCACUCUGUGUCCUCGUCGUUGUCAUCCUCUGCGCCAGCACCAGAUCCAGAUGCUCCAGCGUCUAACGCACCUGUCGCAGGAGGAAUGAGUGGAUGUCGGGAAGAUGACCGCUGAUACGAGGCAUAAGAUGGAGUAGGCUCCCAAAUAUCAUCAUGUCGACACCCCAUCUUAUCCAUCAUUCUUUUGAUACUUAAUUCAAACUUCUUGAUGCUUGACUCAACUUUUCUCCCAAUAUUGUUCACCUUCUUCUUUAAUUUUCGCAAAUCCUCUUUAACUGAUUCCAACGUCGUCGCUCCCCCCGAACUAGAUGAAGUAUCAUAACUCCCUCGGGAUGGAGGCGGAGGAGCAGAGCUAGAAGCUGCUCUCGGUGGAGGUGCUGGGCUAGAUGCUUCAGGAGGUGGCCCCUUGGUCUGAUGGAAUGACUUGAGAGUGCUAACAGACUUAGCCCAAGUCACUGAAUCAAUAGGCCCAAGGCCAACAUCAUACUUGUCACAUGAUGUAUCUACUCCAUUUGCUUGUAGAAUCCUCGUAAUCAGAACAGGGAAUGGAAGUAGAUCCCGUCGAGUGGCACCCUGAAUCACGUGUAUCAUCCUUUGCCAGAUCAGAAACGGGAUGUUGAUGUUCAACCCACAAGCCUGCUCGGGAUGACCAAGAAGAUAUAGCAAUACUAAUCUCUCCCAACGGAUCCUCUUCGUGCCGAUGGUUGGUUGAACAUUGUAGCUCAUGACCAAAGAUAGCAAGUGGUACUCAGGUAAUAAAUCCUUGGAUUCUAUGUAACCAUGAGUCAUGUGAACACUGGCCUUGCAUAUAGCUCCAAGAACGAUAUCCAUGUGAAUUGACGAUUGGAAUCCUCCUGAUGUAUAGAGAAGACCUGUAGUAUCCACACGCAUUCCCAAGAUCUCUCCAAUAGUAUAGGGGGUAACUGGGACUCUCUUUCUACGCACAACAAUCUCGAAAAGAAAAGUGCCAGUCUCCUCGUCUUCAGCAAGUACCUUUCCAUUCAUAUAGAACUCCCAAAUGAGUUCCACACAGAAGGGAGCCUUGGCAGGGACCCGUCCAACUGGCCAAUAGGUGCGCGUUGUAGCAGUCGUCCAAAAUCAGGAACAUCCCGAAUCAGGUCAUUGAAGUUCACGAAGCGUUCAGCUAUGCACGACUUCGACAUAUAUAACCUUUGUCGUGCUGGAGGGACAUCCGCAGCUUGUUUUGUACGUCCCUCACGCGUACGAGAACCACCGCCAUGAGAUGAUUCGCCCACAACACCCUUUCCUUUAGCAGCUCGAGUCGCCGCUUCUUCUGUUUCUUCCUGUGAGCUUGCUUGAUACUCCGGAUCUGAACCGGACUCUCCUGUAGCAGCAUGGGCUCUCUUUGAGGUCCCUCGGCGACCUCGAUCACGUCUACGACCGCUGCCCGCGGCCAUAAGCACCGUCAACACCAACACGAGGAAAAACGCCAUUUUCCUACACCAAAAACAGCAUACAUGGGUAAAAUUUUGAAAACAUUUGUAAAAAUUAGCAAGUAAAUUUCAAAUAUCCUUAGAAUGCAUACUAAUGCUAUUUCAAACCAAUUCAUGCAAAAAAAAUUCAGCAAAAAUCGAAAUUUUUUGAAAAAAUCCCGAAACUACAUGCAUAUUAAAGCAUAAAACUUAGAUCAGCAAAAAAUAACUUGUUUUGAUGUUGUUCAAGUGUUCUACAAGCAAGGUAAUGCCCUAAAACACUGAUCUAUAGCAAAAAAUUGCAUAAAAAACGAAUCAAAUUAGAGAUCAAACUAUAUCUCGAAAUUUUCUGAAAAAUAGGCAAAAACGAGGUUGAAUCAUGAAGUCCGAGCUAAAUACUUACAAAUCUAAGGGGGAAAGCAGUAGAUCUGGAGGAGGAAGAUCCCAGGAGCUCUCAUGACAAGAAAAAUGGUGAUUUAGUUUCGAUUUGAGGCAAAAACGAAGCGCUAUACCCGGUUAUAAGCCGCUCGGGUAUAGACCUUGUAUCGGUACACGGGUCUUGUACCGGUACAAGGACCAAAAUAUGAAAAAAAAAAUUUGAAAAUUAUGGUUUAAAAAUCCAUCAAAUUUAAAUUAAUUUCAUACAAAUUAAGGAUUUUACUCUAAAAAAUCAUAAAAAUGAGAAUAAAUUAUUAUAAGAUUUCAAAAUACAUUUAAACAUCAAAAUUUCAUUAUCAAAAUUGAUCUCAAGUUUCAAAAUCAUCAAGAUGUAACGGUUUACGAAAAAUGAUUUUUUAGAAAUUCGGCAAAAUUGACACCAAUUUGUCGCAAUCCGUUCAAAAUAGAGAUUUAACUAAUAUGAUACCGGGGGUGGCUCUUUGAGCAUCUUUUUAUUUUUUUUUUCAAACUAACACCUUAUAACUCCGAAAAUUCUAAAAUAUUCAAUAUUUUUCAACCUUUUUCGGUUAAUCAAUUCAAUCUUCAUGUGGUAGCUUCACACACUUGCCGGAUGACCGGGGUGGUAGCUCUUUUCUAUAUGUGGUAGUAGUUUUCACACUCCUUUUGGAUGUAACUCUUUCCACAUCUUUUUAAACAUAGGAGUUUUUUUCCUUUUUCUUUAAUAAUUUCAAACUCCCCCUAAAUUAGACAAUCUCACAAUUGAAAAUAUUUUGAGAAAUUUUAGUCUAUUAGCGAAUAUCCAUCUAUCAUAUUCAAACACACAACCAAGAUAGAUUAAUCACCAAGAGAUCAAAUUUGAUUUCAAAAUUUUGAUAAAUAUAUGUAUUACGAAAUCAUAUAUUGAAUUAUCAUUAAAAUAAUAAAAAAUAGAGUAAAAACGAUAAUUAAUAUAAAUUUAACUUAAUAUGAUUGUAAAGUUAAACACCGUUUAAACAACUUUGGAAAAUUUCUCUCCUUAAAAUAAUUAUUCUCAAUCAUCUCCUCUCUCAAAGAAAAAAUUUUUAAAUUCUUAAACACCUUUCCUCAAAUCAAUUUUAAAAACAACUUUCACCCACGAAAAUCAUCAUGUAAUGCAAUGAAUAAAAAUAUGCAACAAACAUCUAUCAAAGCACUACACAAUAAAUUAAAAACAACUAAGACGAGAACCAAGGAAAGAUAUCACCUUUCCGGAUCCAAACUUGUCGGAUCUUUGGUUUUCUCGACUUGUCGACGUUUGGUGUCAUUUGCUUAGAUUUUAGAUCAACCGUUGGUGUUUUCUUCGCUUGAGGCCUUGUUUGAAUUUGUCGUUUUGCAUUAGACAUCCGGUUUGCUUGUGGCUUAGGUAGAACUUGGCGUUGCGGUUUAGAAUUCCGAUUCUUUUGAGGUACUCGACUCACUUGAUUUUUCUUUUGAUUCCACGGGGGAAGUCGAGUUGUAGAUGAUGCCGCUUGAGCUUUAGGAGUUGUCGAAUGAUGUGAAGACCUUGCCGAUUGAUUCAUCUUUUCUUUGUUUGGGCAAUUCCUUUUCAUGUAUCCUUUGACGCCACAUCGAUGACAUGCCUUGUCUUUCAAAGUUGUUGAGACUUUCAAAAUUGAUUUAGAACUCUUCUCCACAAGAACUCUUNCCAAGGAAAGAUAUCACCUUUCCGGAUCCAAACUUGUCGGAUCUUUGGUUUUCUCGACUUGUCGACGUUUGGUGUCAUUUGCUUAGAUUUUAGAUCAACCGUUGGUGUUUUCUUCGCUUGAGGCCUUGUUUGAAUUUGUCGUUUUGCAUUAGACAUCCGGUUUGCUUGUGGCUUAGGUAGAACUUGGCGUUGCGGUUUAGAAUUCCGAUUCUUUUGAGGUACUCGACUCACUUGAUUUUUCUUUUGAUUCCACGGGGGAAGUCGAGUUGUAGAUGAUGCCGCUUGAGCUUUAGGAGUUGUCGAAUGAUGUGAAGACCUUGCCGAUUGAUUCAUCUUUUCUUUGUUUGGGCAAUUCCUUUUCAUGUAUCCUUUGACGCCACAUCGAUGACAUGCCUUGUCUUUCAAAGUUGUUGAGACUUUCAAAAUUGAUUUAGAACUCUUCUCCACAAGAACUCUUUCAUAUCCGAGGCCUAACUUAUCUGUUUGACCCAACCCGAGCAUAUGGUUUAAUUUCUUCGAUCCCGAUGAGAACUUUUGUAUGUCGGAUUGAUGUUGACGAACUUGAUUGGUCAAUGACUUGUUGGAUGUAUGCGAUUCCUCGAAUUGUUGUUCCAAAAAUCCAACCUUGUCUUUAUACGAUUUGAUCGUUGAUUCCGCUUCAUUAAGCUUCUCUAGAAGGUCCGAAUUAUUUUUCAAAAUUGAUUCCCUUUCCUCCUCGAGGCCUUUGUUCGUGAUCUUCAAGUUGUUGUUUUCCUCUUCGAGAUUCAACAAACGACGCCUCAACUUCUUAUUUAGUUUAGCCAUCUUCUUUGAUUCAAUAAGAAGUUGAUUGUAUGCUUCCGCUAUAUCCUCGUCGUUCGAUUCCUCCUCGCUUUCAUCGUUAUCACUCGAAGACACAUGCGAAGAAGUAGACAAAUUGGAAUUAGACAUUAUAGAGGAUAAACACACAACGUUAGACGAAGGCAAAGUAGAUUUAGCAAAUAAAGCAAGAUUUCCAUUCUUUUCUUCGUCACUUGAGCUUGAUUCACUUGAAGUUGUAUCAUCCCACGUCUUUGCUUGCAAUGCCUUCUUAGUAUACGAUUUCUUUAAAGGACAAUCCGUUGCGAUGUGACCGUAGCCUUUGCACUUGUCGCAUCGGAUCUCGCCUUCAAACACAUCCUUUUUUUUAGAAGCCUUUGCACGCUUCUUCUCGUUAGAAGAUGAAGACUUAGAAAACGUUUGUUGCUUAGAUAAUGUAGCCUUGUCAUUCUUGUGCUUGUUCCGAAAAUUUCGACGAAACUUCUUCGUUAAUAGUGCAAGUUGAUGUUCGAAAUCAGCAAGAGAAACAUCUUCAUCGAAAUUUGAAUCCUCAUCUUCUUCCUUCGUCGACUUUAAUGCAAUCCCUGUGCUUUUAGAAAAAGACUUGGAAGAAGAUUGAUUAGUAGGAAAAGUCAUCUCAUAAGUUUGUAAAGCACCUACUAAUUCUUCGACUUUUAUCUCGUCCGGAUGCUUAACCGUUUCGAUCGCGGCAACUUUUGCCCGAAAGCGUUCCGGAAGAGUACGAAGGAUCUUUCUAACCACUUUUGAAUCCGGGAUUUUCUCUCCCAAGUUAGCGCAAGUAUUGACUACGUCUUGUAGACACGUAUAGUACUCGGUAAAGGUCUCGUUUUCAUCCAUACAAAUAGAAUCAAACUUGCUUGUUAGCAUUUGCAAUUUUUGGACCUUUACUAAGCUCGUUCCUUCAUGCGUAACUUGUAGAGUAUCCCAAAUCUUCUUGGCGGCUUCACACGCCGAAACACGAGUAAACUCCGUUUAUGACAAUGCAUUAAAUAAAGCGUUUAUGCCCUUGCCAUUAAACGAAGAUGACUCGUUUUCAUCUUUGGUCCACUUGUUUCGUGGUUUAGGCGUUUCAACAUUAUCGACUUUUUCAAUGGGAUGUUUCCAUCCAAAUUCUAUGGAUUGCCAUACUCGCUCAUCGAUUGCAAUUAGAAAAGCUCUCAUGCGAACUUUCCAAUAGACAUAAUUAGUGCCGUCGAAGAGCGCAGGUCGAUUAAUGUUACCGCCUUCGGCCAUUAGAUAGCAAUAUAUCUAGAUCCCGUAUCUGAUACCAAUUGAAGGUUCUAAAAUAACCCAAGGAUCUAUCUAGAUUGUAUCUAUCACAUAGAGGGGGGUGAAUAGGUGAAAAAACCAAAAACCACAAAUCUCAAUGCGAUAAAAAUAAAUGCUGAAAAUAAAAAUCACACCGAGAUUUACGUGAGAAAACUUCAACUUGGAGAAAAACCUAUGGGACCAACACGCGAAAAAAUAAUUCACUAAGAGAAAAGAUUACAAGGUGAUUACCGACUCCAUGGACUCAACCUCUCUUAACCUUCUAUGAAUCUCGCGCAAUCCUCCGGGUUGUCCACGCCCUCACGUUCGAAUCCACGAACAUCUCGCACACGUCCGAAUCCACAAACGCCACUCGAAUCCACGAGCCCACGAUCCGAAUCCACGAACCGCCGUCAAUCACGCCGAAUCCACGACGCCAUCAUGAAGAACGUCAUGAGUAUGGUGAUCCUUCGCUUAGAGUAUCGAUGAAAAUCAAGGAAGAAGACUUCAAGCGAAGACUAGAUCAAAUCAACAUAUAGCGAAUGCGAAACGAUACCUCGAUUUGAUCUAAAGAGGCUAAUUUGUAGAAAAUAGGUUUAGAACGAAAUACUAGCCUCUAGGGUUCUUUAAUUGUGUAUUCUUAUGAUAGAUGAUCGAUUAGAGAACCCCUAUAGCUUAUUUAUAGACUUUAGAAUCAAAACGGAGUAGGAUUAGAAAGUUUCUUUCCAUAUUCAGCACCUUGUACCGGUACACGGGAAGCUGUCCAGGGUACAGCAUGACGGAAGAUUUUUCUGCGAAGCUUCUGUACCCUGAACAGACUGCAGCUUGUUCCGGAACAAGGCUUGUACUGGUAUAGCCAUAAUGGUUGUACCGGAACAACCAUCGUAAUUCCCUGCGGCAAUAGCCGUUGUCUGUACCGGUACAGAAAAACCCUUGUACCGGUACAACAAUGCAAUUUUUGCUGAAAAUGCAUUGUUUCAAGUUUUACAAGCUCUUAGAAACUUUCUAAUCAAUUACAACUUGAAAAUUAUGAUUCUAAGAUCUAUAAUUAAGUAUAAAUCACCAUAAACAAGAUUUAAAGCUUACCUAAGCAUCGUGAUUCAAGUUUUGCGUGUUUUUCGUCCUUUCCGAUUCUUUGAAAUCUUGGAUUCUUCGAUCUUCAAUACUCCGAUCUGAACUUCUUCAAGACUCCGACUCGACCCACGAAACUUGCCAACACAGAGGACCUAACAUCUUACUUAUUUUAAAACUUUUUAUGAGCCGAGUCCUGAAUCGGCUAUUUCUUGGGUUCCCUUUGCUGACUGUCUUACCGGUCUUUCCUGGUUCCUUGCCCGGUUUGAAGCUAUCUAAGGUGAAUUGGCCUCUUCUCGUGCUGGUGAGUACUCAGAGGUCUGGUACUCUUAUUUGGCUCCGAGAGAUCUGCAUGUGGGGUUAAAAUCGCACUCAAAACUAUUACCAAGCACUGAAGUUUAUUCACCUCAGUAUGUGGCCCGCUAGUUUGGAUUUGUUCAGCCGAUUCCCGCCCCAUCUAAAUUUUUUACAACUAAUACAGCCGAUCAUUGACUCCCUACUAAAGGUAUAGCCGAAGCUGAUAAGAUUUCGGCUAUGGGAAAUCGCCUUCGUCGAUUCUUUAAAUUAGUGAACUUCGGGCCGAACUACACAGGAGUUGCUCUUGCCGGCUAUGCUCCUAUUUGGGAUCAUUUUACUGACCGUACUCUCGACCUUUCUUUUCUUUGGGCAUUCUGUAGAACUAUUCAUCCACUUGUUUCAGUUGAUACUCCUAUCUCAUCAUCAAGAGAAGAAAUAGAAGAAGCUUCUGAGGCCAGGCCUUCUUCUUCUGUAAUGUACUUACCUUUAUUUUAACUUUCUUUUCAAUAUUUCAAAUACUUAUUUUCUUUUUCUGCAGUCAAUUCCAGUUUCUUCAUCGGUCUCAGCUUCAGAAAAAAGACCGAUUGAGACCGCUCAAUCUACUCCUCCGCCGCCUCCAAAGCGGCGUAAGUCAAUUGCUAAAAGGUCCUAUUCUACACGUACCGAAAGUAUUGCUUCGGCUGAUGUAUCAGAGAAAAAAGCUGAAGAAACGCCUUCGGCUCCUAUUCCCGAAGAAACGCCUUCGGUUGAUGCCUCCAAACAAGACUCAGUUCCCAAUGAGCCCAUUGAGAUUGAGGUAUGUAUAUUUGAUUAGUCACUUUAACUCGUAUUAUUUUCUCAACUUGUUUAUCAUUCUUUUAAUAAAACAGUCCUCUCCCGAAAACAAUUCAAGAGCUCGUUUUGCUUCUUCUUUGAAGACGCAAAUGGAUAGACAGCUUCACCAGAAAACUCGUCUUGAAAAGAAACGAGGUAUGGAGAAAAAGAAGAAAUCCGUUGCAGAGACGAGCACGAUGCCAUCACCAGGUGAAACUAUAUCACCUCUUUCUGCCCCAACCCCAAUUACAAUGGAUGACAAAGCAAGUGUACCUGUCGAGCAAGGUUCUGGAGAAGCGCAAGGCUCUGGAGAAGCAAGCACCAUACCUCCUCCUCCAACUCAUGAGACUUCCCUUUCUGCUCCUGAGGAUCCUCUAGCUGCUACUCUUCGUUAUUUAUUGGUUUCAAGUCCCAGUUCCAAUGAGGGGGAUGAUUCUUCGACUAUUAUUGCCUCAUCGGACACUCAACGCAAAUUUGAUGAAUGUCUUAAAAUAUAUAGCAGUGGUCCCCCCCUGUUUAGCUCAAAAUCCGGAGCUAUUUGAUCAGCUGUACGCUCUCUUAUUCGAUUUGGCCGAUCAAGCAAAUAUUACUUCUAGUAUUAAAUAUUUUGUAGAGACUCUGUCGUCUCAACUUUCUUCUUUUUUAGCUCGGCAACAAUCUUUGGGUGCCGAACUUUUAUCUUUAGAUCAACAUUUUUAUUGUGUUGAUCACUUUAAGAGAAAUAUCCCUGAAGUAGCUGCCCCUAUUACUGAAGUAAAUCAUGAAGAUCAGGCUUUGGCCAAUCAAGAAUCGGCUUUACAACAGCGGAUUUUAACCCUUAAAGACGAGUUAGCAGCAGCCGAAUCAACUUUAGCCCAAACCUCUGAGCGCCGACUUCAAUUGCAAAACCAGUUAAAAGCUAAAUGAGCAGAAGGGAUGAAAAUUCAGGAAGAGCUUUCUCAACUCUACAAGGUGCAUCCCUUGAUGAAGCGCCGAAGAAAAGCUGCCGAAGCUGCUCAAGCCAACCUUAUAGCCGAAUGGAACCAACUCAAAAAUUUAUUAACUUGAUUCGGCUUGUAAUGUUCUAACUUUGAUCUUGGUUUUUCUCCCACAUGGAUGGGUAAUAUUUCCUCAAAUACUUUCCAUUAAUAGGUUUUUUAUUUUCUAAAUCAUCUCUAUUCUGCAAGUAAUAUGCAUUUCCUUUUAUGAUUCGGCUGACUUGAAAUGGUCCUUCCCAAUUUGGAGACCAUUUUCUAUAUGUUCGGUCUUUUUGACCGAUUGGAAAAAUCAGCCAAAGUACUAAAUCACCGACGACAAAUGUCUUUGAUCGAACUCUCUUAUUGUAUGCACUACGCACUCAGCUUUGGUAUGCUUGCAUAUUAUCUAAAGCUAUCAACCGAGUAUCAUAUACUUCCUCUACUUUGUCCUUCAUUAAAUUACUGUAUUCAUCAGCCGACAAAUCUUUUUGCUUUUCUGUUUUCAAAGAAGGAACUGUUAUCUCGGCUGGAAUUACGGCCUCAUGUCCGUAAACUAAUUGGAAUGGUGUCAUCCCUAUUGCCGUUUUCACUGAAGUUCGGCAUGCCCAUAAUACUUCGAAAAGUUUUUCAUUCCAUUUUCUCGGAUGCUUUCCGAUAUGUCGUUUCAUAAGGUUGAUAACUAUUUUAUUCGCUGCUUCUACUUGUCCAUUCGCUUAGGCAUAAUAAGGAGAUGAAUAGAGCAACUUUAUCUUUCGAGACUCGAUGAACCGAACGAACUGUCCUCCUGUGAACAUUGUCCCUUGAUCGGUCGUAAUUGUCUCGAAAAUCCCAAAGCGAUGAAUUAUAUGAUCUUCAACAAAAUCAAUAAUUUCUUUUUGGGUAACCAACCGAGUGGGUUUUGCUUCCACCAACUUGGUGAAAUAAUCGACAGCCACUAUUAAAAAUUUAUGACCAGCCGAGGAAUUCGGCUGAAUUUCUCCAAUUAAAUUCAUGGCCCAACCUCGAAAAGGCCAUGGUUUAAUGAUUGCAUACAUCUCAGAGGCCGGAAUUCUCUGGAUUGAGCUAUGAAAUUGACAAUCCUGACAACCUUUGGCAUAUUCUAUACAAUCUUGAUGCAUUGUUGGCCAAUAAUAUCCUAAGUGCCGAAUUGUCCAUCUUAACUUUUUUCCGGCUAAAUGGGUUCCACAUAUUCCUUCAUGUGUUUUUUUCAUUAUCAACAGAGCUUCUUCAGGUCCUAAACACUUUAACAGAACUUCUUCGGCUGUUCUCUUGUAAAGUUGACCAUCUAACAAACAAUAGCCGAGAGCUCUUCUUCGAAUAUUAUAGUCGACCCUUGUAUUAGAAUCUUCCAGAUAUUUGAUUAAUAAUUUUCUUCAAUCUUCCUUCACUUCUAUGGGAGCUAUAAUCGGUCUUCGUACAUGAACCGAAGGUAGCAACCUCCUCUGUAUUAUUAUUGACUCUGACUUCGACUCUCUAUAUCCUGAAGUCGACUGAGCUAGUUCAUUUGCCUUUUCAUUUUUCUGUCUGUUCAAAUGUUCGAAUUCAGUCUCUCUGAAUUCACAUAGUAACUCUAAUGUCUUCCUUAAAUAAUUUUGUAAAUUCGGGUUUUCACAUCGGUAUUCUCCAUUCACUUGUUUGAUUACUAGCUGUGAGUCACCGAUGAAUUUGAUUGACUUUGCUUUUAAUUCUUGUAAAAUUUCUAGGCCAAUUUUUAAGGCCUCAUAUUCGGCUUGAUUGUUAGAGCAGCCGAAAUCUAGCUCGAAAGCAAGUUGGCAUGAAUACCCUUCAGGAGAUUGGAUAACUAUUCCAGCUCCUGCUGAUUCGGCUGUUCUUGAGCUGUCAAAAUAAAGUGUCCAAGGUUGACAACCGACUAAAUUUUGCUUUGGCUCUUCAAUUUCCACACAUGGAUGAUCAGCCAAGAAGUCAGCUAUCGCUUGUCCUUUAACAGCUUUAGCUGGAAUAUAAUUAAGGGAGAAUUCAGACAAAGGCAACAUCCAUUUUCCAAGUCGGCCCCUUAAUACAGAUUUGGCCAACAUAUACUUUACCAGGUCGGUUUUGCAUAUUAUCGAUACCUCAGUUGGUAAAAUAUAGUAUCUUAGCUUUGUUCAUGAAUAGUGUAAAGCCAAACAUAAUUUUUCAAUAGCCGAAUACCGUUUCUCGAUAUCUAAAAGACGUCGGCUCAAAUAAUAAAUGGCUUGUUCUUCCUUUUCUUCGUUUUCUUGGGCUAAUAAACACCCAAGAUUUUCCUCCGCAGCCGAAAUAUACAAUUUCAUCGGCCGAUUUGACUUUGGAGGCAUCAAUACCGGAGGGUUUGAUAAAUAUCUUUAUAUAUUUUCAAAUGCCCCUUUCUAUUCCUCUGUCGAAACGAAUUCUUCUUUAUCUUUUAGCCGAAGUAGUGGGGUAAAAUGCCCUAUUCUUCCGGCCAAAUUGGAUAUAAACCGCCGAAGAUAAUUGAUCUUCCCUAACAGGCUUUGCAGUUCCUUUUUGCACUUUGGUGGCGGUAAUUCUAAAAUCGCUUUCGCCUUAUUUUUAUCAAUUUCGAUCUCUUUUUUAUGCACUAAAAAUCCUAGAAAGUUUCCUGCUGAAACUCCGAAAGCACAUUUCAAAGGGUUCAUUUUCAAAUUAUAUUUUCUCAUUCUUUCAAAGGCAAGUUUUAAAUUAAUCCAGUGCUCGGCUUGUGACUUGGAUUUUACGACUAUAUCAUCAAUAUAUACUUCCAACAUCUUGCCGAUUAAAUCAUGGAAAAUAAAAUUCAUUACCCUCUGAUAAGUAGCUCCGGCAUUCUUUAAACCGAACGGCAUGACAACCCAUUCAAAAGUUCCAAUCGAACCAGGGCAUCUGAAAGCCGUUUUAGCUACAUCACCCUCAGCAAUAUAAAUUUGAUUAUACCCAGUAUGUCCGUCCAUAAAGGAUAGGACCUCAUUACCGGAAGCCGAAUCUACUAACAUAUCGGCUAUUGGCAUAAGGUACUCAUCUUUUGGUGUAGCUAAAUUUAAGUUUCUGAAAUCAAUGCAAACUCUAAGUUUACCAUUCUUUUUUCGUACUGGAACUAUGUUAGACACCCAAUCAACAUAACGGGCCGCUCUAAUAAAUUCGGCCUCAAAAGAUUUUCUAUUUUAUUCUUAAUUUGGAGUACAAUACUCGGCUCGAACCUACGAGCCGAUUGUUUAAAAGGCUUAAACCUUUUCUUAAUAGGCAGCCUAUGCUCUACAAUUUCUCGACUUAACCCAGGCAUUUCUUCAUAGCUCCAGGCGAAGCAAUCCGUGUACUCCUUCAAUAGUUCUUUCAGCUCCUUCUGCUGUCGAGCCGAAAGCUUUGCGCUUACAUACGUCGGUCUCUUAUCUUCGUCGGAUUCCAGAUUUACUUCGAUCAGCGGGUCUUGGGUCUCCAACUUUUUCUCACCGACUUUAAUAGACGAUUCUUCUAGAUUCAAUUCGUUUGCUUGCCUAUUCAUUUUGUGUGAUUUGUCGGUCUCGCUAACCGACUUCAUUUGAUUUUCUUUUUUGGCCUUGUAAACCGAAUCUAUUAUAACUUUUUCGGCUUUAUUAGCCGAGUCAUCAAGCGUUAACACAUCGGCUAUGGAAGCCGAAUCUUCCUUAUAGCCGAUCUUGUUGAUCGGCUUAUCCUGUCGAGGCUCUUGACAAGCCUCUAUUCUCAAUUUUUCGGACUCCAUUUUAACCAUUUUGGCGGCUCAUCGGCUGCCACCAAAGCCCCUUCUUCUCUAAUAAAGAUCAACUGGACUCCUUCUUCUGUAACUAUUACGAAGGAAAUUUGAUCCGGAUCCGCGUCGGCCCAAUUGAUAUGGCCGAUUUCCUCAGUGUUGAUGUCCACCAUUUGGGGCCGUCCUUCGGCCCGGAUUUCUUCAACUUUAUCUCCGAUCCACUGGAAUAAUUUUCCGUGGAGUGUAGAAGGCACGCACUCAUUUGCAUGAAUCCAAUCAUGCCCGAGUAGCAGGUUAUAUUGACUAUCUGCAUCAACCACAAAGAAUGCAGUUCGUAAAGUUUUAGAACCUUCCGUGAUCUCGGUCGUAAGCACCCCUCGAGCUUGCUGAUCAUUCCCAGUGAAGUCGGUCAUGAUCGUGUCAGUGGGUUUCAACUCAUCUUCAUCUUUGCCCAACUUCUUAAAGAAUGCAGUGGGCAUGACAUUUGACCAUCGCUCCGCCAUCUACCAUAACUCGGCCUACUGGCCGACCUUCAAUUAAGGCCCGAAUAAAAAGAGGCCUUACGAAUCUUGUCUGCAUGGCCGAUGGUUUCUCGAAAACCACCACAUCGGCCGGUUUGGCAUCUCUAACUGUAAUUGAGCCACAUUGAGCCCAACUUCCUUCUCUACCUCCUCAUACUCAGUAUACUCUGCUUUAAAAGACUGUGGCAGAGUAUAUACCAUAUUGACAUCGGCUGGUCCUUCAUCAGCCGAUUUUUCUUUAAUUCUCUGUUUCUUUUCUUCAGAUUCUUUAGCCGUUUCGGCAGAAGAAUCACUCUCCAUUUGCACCUCCCUCUCCUUAGGAGGCUAUCUUUCUCUCUUGAUGAUUGUCUCGAGAGAAGCUAUUUUAUCUUCUAGCUCCCUUCUUGUCAUUUUCUCUUCUUGUUCGGCCGGUAUUGGCCGUUUAAUCUUUGAUUUUAGCCAAGGGAUAGGUGAUGAACUGCUUGCUUCAUGAUCAUUCCGCAUCGGGCGAACAAGGUGUGGAGGUUCAUCAGGUCGCUUCCAUACGUUCAAUUUCAUCCCCUUCGCUUCAUCAUAUUGUUGUCUGGCCUCGGCUUGCAUCCUUUGCUGCCGACGCUUUUGUAUUUUCGUUAACAUCGGCCCUUGCCAUCUGGCCGAUGGUUUCACUUCUACCUCAUGCCAUUCAUCCAUUGGAACAUUCGCCGGUAUCUUUACCGUCUUCAAAUGGUUUUUCAAAAUUUCUCUUCUCUCCCAAGGUCUCGGCUAAGGCUGAAUGCCGAGUUCGUUGACUAAUCUCCGACCGAGAAAUUCUAUGUCUCCCUCGGUCAUUCCCUCGAAUUCCGGUUCUGGUCUCGGCCUCGUUUGAUGCUGCCAAUGUGGCCGAUAUCCAGGAAUUCUUGGCUUGGUGCCGAAGGGUCUACCCUGGUAGUCCCAUCGGCUUUGACGCUUGCCACGCCUGUUGUUGUAAUAAUCAUGCAGAAUCUUCUGCAUCAACAUGUCUUGUUUGCGUUGAACCGAUUUGACUUCCGGUUCAGUGUCAUUGGAGGCCUCGUCUGAGCCUUUUUCUUCUUGGUCUUCACCAUCAGGAAUGUCAUUCCAUUCCUCGGAGAACGCCAUCAACUCAUUCCAUUCGUUCCCUCUUUUCUUGGCAUUGACAAUAGCUUCCCAAUCUUUCUUCGUAAUUUCGGCCUUGCACCUUAUGCAAAGCCGAAGAUGUUUUUUGGCAUGUGCCACGUUAUCUGCGAUCACCUGGUCCGUAGUCUCUUUCCCUUUAUCAUUCACCAUAUUGACCUGAAAAGAAAACGAACUUUCGUUAAUUACCUUAUUUUUAUUUUCUUGGUCGGCUAAUAUGAGCCGACCUUCAUAUAUUUCUUCUUGGAUCUGCCUUUUUGCAGUCGCUUUUUUUUUUUCUUUCAUGCUCACAACGUUGACCUGUGAUGGAAAAGGGUUCUUAUCAAUUUCCAUAUCUUUAUUUUCUUGGUCGGUAAAGAUGAGCCGACCCUCGUUUAUCUCUUUUUGAAUUUGCCUCUUGAAAGCAGUACAUUCACUAGUUUUAUGGCUCCAUGAAUGAUGCCACUUACAAUAUCUUCUGCGUUUUAGUUCUUCUACAGGAGGUAUAGUUUGGCCCUCCUGUAGUUUAAUUCGUCCAUCCUUUAGCAACCGAUUAAAAAUUAGAUCGGUCUUUACUAUAUCAAACGAAUAACUAAAUGCAGACACAUGUGCUUUCGCCUCUCUUGACUUGGCGGGUCUUAACAAAGCACAUUUGUAUGGUUGAUUAUUUCUCACCAUCUCGGCAGCACAAAUUUCGACUUCAUCAGCCGAAUCCUCAUUUUCUUCAGACGAAUUCGGCUCUUCAUGAGCCAAAGACUCUUCAAGGAAAGAGAUAUUUUUCUCCUUUCCUUUGUUCCAAUCUUUGUUUCAGCUCCAUCUGGGCCGAUCUUCAUUGUUACCUUUUCGAAAUUGCUCAUAUUGAGCAACUCGAACUCCCAAAUCAAAAAGAUUUGAAAAGAAUUUAUCCUCAAAAUGGUCUUUAAUUUUAAAAUACAUGCCGUUGAAUGCCAUUUUGGCAAAUUUCGAUUUUGGCAUUCUUACGAAACAACGGCUUCGAGCAGUUUUGAAUCGGUUCAAAUAUUCAUCAACCGAUUCUCCUGUUCUUUGUUUGAAUUGAGCCAAAUCCGCAACUGAUAGUUCUGGCUCUGUUUUAUAAAACUGUUCAUGAAAUUUACUUUCUAACUCGUCCCAGUCUCGGACGGAAUUAGCAGGUAAACUCGUGUACCAAGUGAAAGCCGUCUUAGUCAAUGAGGUAUUAAAUAACCUUAACUUUAAAAACGGAUCUGCCACGGCCUCACGGCACUGAGCUGUAAACCGCGCGAUGUGCUCGACCGUAUUUUCGGUCUCGUCGCCGGAAAACUUGUCAAACUUCUUCGGCAUCUUCCAAUUUGCCAGAUAUGGGUGUUCUAUAUCUAUAUUUGCAGGAUAUGGUGACCUGAAUACGGGCCGCAUUGCCGGCCUUGCUCCUACUCCGAAAGUAUUCCGGAUGGCUUCUUCUAUUUGCACAUAAAUCUCAUUAUUAAUACCCUGUAAAGGGGCUUGCACUGGUGCCGGGUUCGGUGGUUGUAGCGCACCGGGAUUUUGCACCAAAGGAUUAACCCCUUGUGCAUUUGUAGCCUGCCCCCUAGCCCCUGCAUUUUGGGACUGGUACACUGCUACUGGAGGAGGUGGAGGUAAUCCCCAAGCCACUUCUGGCUGUUGACCGGCAUUAACGACAGCCUGUCGAUAAGCCACUUGAUAUGGUGCCCCCUGGUACUAGGGCUGACCAUUUACAGGUGUCACAGGAUUUUGUAACACUGGUGUUAUCAUAGGCGCUUGCAGGCCUGUUAUCGGUUGUUCGUUCCGAGUUAACAAUUGCCCUAUUCGGGCGAUGUUCUCGUUAGAGACCGUUAUUGUGGCCAAAACGGCAUCCAGCCUUGCAGUACUCGCAUGACUGUUUUGGUCCAAAACUUGCAGGACCCGAGUCAUUUGCCCAAGCGCUUAGGCCAGGCUAGGCUCUUGUUGGCCAGAUUGACUACUGGUCUCACCUUCAGCGGGUAAGACUGCUUGACGCUGUACAACAUUCUCUGAAUUACUGGGCUGUUUACUCCCAGAAUUUCUAGGAAUAGCCCUAUUACGAAGAUUCAUGGCGUUAUCAUCAGCCAUACUUUAUAUAAAAUGCAACUUACCUUAUAUUAGGGUCCCACCGGGUAUGCCAAAAAUUGUUGGUAGCCGAAAUCUCAAAUCCCUGACCCGGUCAAAGAUCCUCCUCGAGGAGCGCGUCGGGAUACGAAACGGCUGUGAAUAGUGACCUUCGAAGUUUGCGCCCUUCGAUUGAUCAAGCGAUUAGGCUGACGAGGGAUCGGGUCAGCCGGGUUCGAAACCUCUACAGCAAAUUCGGUUCGGCUAGAUGAGCCGAAUGAACAAAAGAAGUCAGAAUUUCAGCCAAGGAAUGAGUCGAAUGGCUAAUACAGCACAGGAACUGGUCGGCCUGAAGAGCCGGACACUGCCUUCUAUUGAAAGAGAACGGAGAAAGUACAGGAAAGAGGGUUUUAGUCUACAGCGGAGUGAUGCCCAAAGGGCAGACAGACUCCAGGAUGCUAAGUUACAGGAACUACUCCUAGGGAAAGCAGUAAAUGCGAGAAAGAAAGAUGCAGGGAAAAUAAGGUUGGUCUUUUGUGCGCAAUGGCCAAAACCUCUUUUUAGGGUAUUAUUACCCUAUUUAUAGAUAGCCCCCUUGGUCAGUUAUUGUUCUUACACGAUCGGCCACUAUCUCCUCAUAUUCCGAACCACUUCUAGCCAAUCGGAACCGCAUGUAACUGCUUGCGGUUACCGUAACUUCCUUCAAUUGGCGCGAUACACUUUUCCGAUGCUCCCGAUGCACGACCGAAUAGAUGCUUUUGAAGGGAAUAUUCGCACCGAUCAUCCUUGGCAUCAAUUGGCUCAACACGGUGUAAAAGAAUCGGAAUUUGUUGAAUUUUUGAUAGAAAAUUCUAUUCACUACAUAGAUAAAGAUCAAUAACUCCGAUCUUGAAUUUGAAGGAUCCGAUUAUCCUUUUUAGGAUGUCGUUCGAUUUUGACCGUUCAUUUUAUGCCCACUUGAUGGACUUUAUUAUGAUUUCAAAAAUUUACAAAAUUUAUUUUCUAGAAGUUUCAAAUACUCUAGAUCAUAUUUAACGGAGUGGAUCGUCGAUUCGGAAACUCCAUCAUUGAAAACAACUUAUGAGUAUGAGGGUUCCAAUACUCAUAAUGGUAUAGUAGCCACGGCCUAAUAUAUAUAUAUAUAUAGAGAGAGAGAGAGAGAGAGAGAGAGAGAAAGAGAGAGAGAGAGAGAGAGAGAGUCCGGCUGCUAUGCUAUCGAUAGCACCAAGCACUUGGUGCUAUCAAGUUUUCUACCGUUAGAUUAAUUCCUUUGAUUAUUUUUUACCCGUUAGAUUAUACUAUUCAACCAACCACCCACUCAACCCCAGGGGGCCCACAUCAUCCUAACUGCAUAUUUCUCAAUCCAAGGGCUAAAAAUUCAAUAGCACCAAUAACUUGGUACUAUUGAUAGUAUUCCAGCCUAAUUAUAUAUAUAUAUAUAUAUACUAGUUGAAUGUACGUACAAAUGCGCGUAACAAUUAAUUAUUUAAUAAUUAUUUUAAAUUAAUAUGAAAUUGUACAUCAUAUUUAUUAAAAAAUUUACAAUUUUUUAAAAAGUAAAUUUAUUUAUUAUAUACUAUUAGAAAAUACCUACCAUAUUUUGUAAACAAAUAUAUAUUAGUUUUUUUUAUUUUAUAAAAAUUAUAUAUAUAGUGUAGAUAUAUGAUUACAUUUAAAUUUUCUUUUCGAUUAAAUUUGCAUUAUAGUGUUUAGAGUAUAGGAUAUACCACCUGAACUAGUUAUUCGUUUUCGGAUAAAUUUGAAAGGAAAGAAAUUAAUAUUUUUGAUAAAUUUAAUAUAUAGUUGUUAGAUAUGAUAUACAUUAGGUUAUAGAUAUACAUUAUAUAUUAUUUUACAUUCUAAUAUAUUUAAAAUUUAAAUAAGAUAUUUUAAAUAAUCAAGUAUCAAAUUAACAGUUAAUAAUAUAAUAAAAUAUUAGUAGAUCGAAUAGGGAUCAAUAUAUAUAUAUAUAUAUAUUAUAUAUAUAUAUAUAUAUAUAUAUUAUAUUAUAUAUUAUAUUAUAGAUAGAGAUAAGGAGAUAUUCUCCGGUAGGCAAAGAAUUUGGAUAAGCAUAAAUUUUUUUCUCUUGUAAAACAAAGAGGAAUUAAAAGUUUGUUUAAUUCUGUUAUUUAUUUUACGUAAUGAAUAGUGGAAUUAAUUUUUUUUCCUCCAAAAAAUGGGUUUGUCGACAGACCGAAAUUUGAAAUACGUUCUUCUAUAUAUACUAGUAGAGUGCACGUGCAAUGCACAUCACAUAUUUAAAAAAAUAAAAAAUAUUUUUUUUUCAAAAUAAUUAAAAUUGGACAUAAUUGAUAUGUAAUAUAUAAUUUUUAAAUAAAUUAUGAGUGAAUAUUUAUAAUUUAGUAAUUUUAUUAUAUUUGCAUAAAAUAGUAAUAAAAUUAUUGUCCAAUUGAACAUUUAGAUAAAUUAAAUUUUAGAUCUCUACAUCUGGCCAUAAAAAAAUUUCUUUUAUACUACUUAUAAAAGAGCCACUUUUUUAGGACAAAAAAUUACAUUUAUAUCUAAAAUCCCUUUAAUUUUAUAAAUUCUACCAAAAAUGAUUUAAGUAAUACAAACUUUUUAUAUAAAAAAUGAUUUAGGCCAUGUCAUUCAAACAAUAUGCAAAAUAUUAUUAAUUAAUAAAAUCUUCUUGGAAUAUUUUUUUUCUACAAAAUUUUUAGUUUCUAUGCAAACCUUCCACAUUAGAGAUCUAUUUAAUUGAUAAAAAAUUAUAUAAUUUAUUUAGAUAAAAAUGUAGAACUCUUCUUCAUUUUUAGACAAUUUCUCCUAAUUUUUUUUAUUAACACGCACAUAGCUACUAAUUUAGUCAAAUAAACUAAAAAUUUAACCAAAAUUUUUAAAUUAUAAAUAGUAAAUACUAAAUUUUAGAAAAUAGAUUAAUUAACUACUCUAUAUCAAAUAAAACUGAAUUAAUUAAUUAAUAAAAAAUUAAAGUCGAAAAGAUAUCGAUUAAAAAUAAAUACAUAAUUGUUAAGAGCUCUAUUUCAAAGUCACCUAUAGUGAAGGGGAUUUAUUUCAAAGUCACCUAUAAUUAUGUGGGUUUCACGAUCUUGAAUCAUAUGGUUCAAUUUUUUAUAAAAGUUGUGAUACAUAAUGUCACACCCCGGGAUCCCCUUUUUGUUUGAAACACAGCAGAAAAGCGUUUAAAUUUUUUUUUUGAAAACCUGACCCCAGAGUAUGCCAGAUCCGCCACAAAUACAGGGAAUCCACUGUUCACACGGACAGAGUCUCCCCUGUAUUUGCACGGCGUCGCACAAGUACAAAAGUACAAACAGUAUACGACCACAACUAAAUGAAUAUACAGAUAGCUAUACAUUCAUACAUUCACCAUUCACACCGUAGUUUUACAUUCGAUGUUUAAACAAAAGUCCACGAAAAAUCUUUUGAAAACUGUUCCAUACGCGAGAACUUUUAUCUUUUUAUAAAAGCUACCACGAG